UGGAAGAUAUAUAUAAAAACAUAAGUAUAGUUAGAUUAUCUUUCUAUUAGGUUGAGCGAUUUGAUCUGACAAUUGUUUAAAAUGUUACACUCAUGAUCUUAUUAUCCAUCAACUUUGUCUUGCUCACUAUGCUUAAGGUUAGAGAGAACAUAUACACUUUUGGUUCUGUUGGUGUUUUCCACCAACAGGGCCCAUGCACUUGAUCUCUGCCUUGUCUCUAUGAGCAGAUACACUUUGAGCAAAAUAUGAAGGACUUUUACAACUCCCAGACUCCACCAAGUGAAGAACCUAGAUCUACGAGCACAAACACACUGGAGAUACCGGACACUCAGGCAAUCACUGCCCUGAGAUGCUUGAGGACGUAACUACUGGAGUAACCCCAUUGUGGAAGUAAUUACUGACUUUCUGCCGGUCAAGAGAGACAAUCUAGGACGCCCCAUCAUCCCAAUCUCCUUCGGCAUGGUGGACUUCCCAGAUGCACUCUGUGACUUUGGCUCUAGCGUCAACAUUAUGCCCAGGCUUGCAGAUCAGACACUAAGUUUCCCAAAGGGAAUAUUGAAGAACCUCUACGUACGAGUUGGCACCUUAUACGCUCCAGCAGACUUCGUGGUGAUAGAGACUGAUACUGAUGAGAGGGCACCCAUCAUCUUAGGGAGGCCAUUCCUAAACACCUCAGGAGCUAUCAUCUACGCUAGUGCUGCCAAGAUCAGUUUCUACAUCAAGGGGAGGAAGGAGACGUUUUCCUUCGAGAACAAGAUUACACAAAUCACAGAGCAAUCCUGACAUGAACCAAGGAAGAGGACCAACAGGAGGAACAGGAACAAGCAAAUGUGGACCGAAUCAGUUAAGAUGGUCACUGCAAUUCACAGAGGUCAAGAUCGUCGACUCAAGUCGCCUUUCCUGACCAAGAAGGACGACCCAAGUAUGCCAAGCAUCCAGUGCUCCAUUAAUGAAUACAACUUCCAGAAGAUGCUUUGCAACAUAGGGUCAGGCGUCAACAAAAUGGCCGCAGCCACCUAUAAGCUCCUGUUUGGAACCAUGCCCCUACAACCAACAUACAUUCAGCUCUAGAUGGCAGAUUAGACAUUUCGGAAGGUUGAAGUUAUUGAUAUGGGAGAAGACGAGUACGAUCCACCCAUCAUCCUUGGAAGACUGUUCCUCAGCACUGUUAAAGCAAUCAUCUACCUUGGAACCGGAGAAGUCCACAUGCACUUCCCCUCUGAGAAGGUACGCUGCUAUUUUCCUGACCCUAACCAUAUAGUUGAAAACUCUAAGCAGGUCAGAACAAAAAGAAGACGACACAACCGUAACCAGAAGAGGCAAAUCAUCAAGGAUGGAUGGCCAGACUAUGAAGGAGAAGUUGUAAGGUUUGAAGACAUACAGCUUGAACAGAACUGUCCUGAGGAGACCGUAGCACCGAGUCAGGUGUGGGGAGAGAAGAUAGUUAUACACGAAGAGCAGGUGCCACCGGAACCACCGACUACGCCAUCCAGCAAAUCUCAGGACGACUGAGGAAACGGAGAGUCCCGUUCGGAGGACUUAAAAAAACACCGAACGCCUUGCCAAGAGGUAAUCUUGAUAGUUAUCCUUUUCCUUUUAAUUAUUUAAAAUAGUUUGCUUAGUUAAUCAGGUUCAUAUUAUCUUGAAAAGAAAAUAAAAAUAUUAAAAAAAUAGUAAGCCCCAUGUGAGUAUGCUCAUGGCAUAAAUCCCAUAAGUACAUUCACUGUGGUGGCAUAAAAAUAAAAUAAAUAUAUUUCUGUCCUAUAAAAAUAAAAUUAUAAAAAUAAAAUUAUGAUCCUACUAAAGAGAGUAACAUUUAUUGAGUUGGCUCAACAUGAUAAAGGCUAGAUAUUUAUGCUAACACUUAACUAGUUCCACAAAGCUUUGUUGUCUAUUUGAGCUCUACAGAAUUCAAGGAUCAAAGAAGACUAGCAGACGGAGGACAUCCUAAUCACUGUCAGGGUGCUGCCAACAUUCAAAUACACCUCCGCCACCUGCUAGCUACAUCAGAAGAAAUUGCGUCAAAAUCCAGCUUGGGGGAGAGCACCCCCAUUUAUCCAGCUAAGUGUUCUAUUGGCGUUUAUACUUUACUCAAACAAUAAAAAGAUGCAUAGUUUGCUUUCAUAAAAACCCAAAUAAAGAUUUUGUGCUUUUAUAUAUAUCUUUGCUUAGUUUGCUAAAUAAAUAAAUAAAUAAAGUUUGCUAUGAACCCUCAUGAUAAGCUCUCACAUGGAAAUGAUGAAUAGUUGCUCUGCCAUGACUAGUUCUCAAAAUUGAGAUCUCUCUCAAGUUUAGGCCUGACUAUUAUUAAUUAAGAUUUGCUCUAAACUUGAACUUGUGGGAAGAUUACUUGAUCUAAAGUCUAAGUUGUUAACGGAUAUGAUAUGGGAAGGUUGAGCUGCUGUUUAUCUGUUCCUAGAGAUGCUAGAAUUCUGGAGAAUUUUAUCUUUGAAAAUCUUUAAAAUAACACAUGAUGAGUUCCUGUAUGAUGAGAGUUUAAAUUCCUACCACAGCCAUAUAUACAUGCUUGCUAGACUUUGAGCCAUACAUUUACUUUUUACUGCUUAUGAGCAUUGAGUGUGGUCAAGCUGUGUAGACCCUUAGGAGCUUGUCAUGUGGUUAAAUCAAGAUUCACUUGCACGUUCACUCAUACAUGCUGCUUCUACUCCGGAAGUAUGCAUCCACAUACAUCCACUCAAUUCCAUCUCCAGAUUCACCUAAAAUUAUUUUACUCCUAAUCUGGGAGAGAAUAGCCAAAAACAUUAUCCUAUUUCUGUUUUUCCCCUGUGAAAUAAAUGCUCAAGUUAUCUUGGUUACUACCACUUGCUAUAUUAUUUUAAGAGAUGAGUGCUCUAAUAAAAAAAAGGGGGAUAAAAAAGUAUACGAGGAAAAAAAAAGGGGCAAGUGCCCGGAACCUCGAAGAAAAGAAAAAGUAAGACGAGAGGUAAAAAUGGACAAGUGUCCGACAGUACAAUUAGGGGUACAAGAUACCCACCUGAGAGAAAAGAAAAAAAAAUAUAGAGCAUCCUAUUUUCCUCAAAAAGUUUCAAAAGAGUAAGAAAGGUAUGUAUCCCCUCAAAAGAGCACAAGUAGAAUUAGACAUUCACCAUUGUUGUCACCAUCAUUAGCAUGCACCAUUCAUUCGCCACACAUGCACAUCUUGAUUUGACUUAUUGACUUGUUCUUCUGGAUCCAUGGUUUGACUAUGCAAUAAAUGUCUUGUAAGUAUGUAUUAGCUGUCUCCCACCUAUGAGCUCCAGAUAUCAAAAGCCUUAUUAGAGUAGGAUGAGAGAGAAGGCAAUGCCACUAUGCCUCAUACCAAAAAUACCACAUACUUUGAGAGAAGGCAUACACCAUUACUGUCUUGGUUAGGAUCCAGAAAUACCACAAAAGAGAGACUAGAGAGAGUCAUACAAGGAAUCUCUGAGUUUUAUUUGAAAAUCUGCAAAAACUCCAGAGCUAUAGUUAAUCGACGAACAAGAGACAUGGCGCUUGAUUAGACCGUUCUAUCUUUUAACUGCUCAAGACAUAAGUGACGGUUACAAGCCCCAUGGUGGAAGGUAAAAUGAGUAAGUUUAAAUCUUAACAGUUUACCCUAACCCAGAGAUGAGAUCUUGUUUGAACGCAUGUGUACCUUUAAGGCAUGAAACCACUGCAGAAACUCUUGAGUUCAUCUUUGCUCAGGGACGAGCAAAGGAUAAGCUUGGGGGAGCUUGUUGACGGUCCUUAGUGCUCACAUUUAACCGUCAACUAAUCAUGGAAAAGGAUCUAAAUGGAACCAACACCUAGACUUAGGGUUCUCUCUGACAUAAUUCCACGAGUUUUGGUGUUUGUCUAUUUCUGCAGGGGUUAUCAGGAAAUACAGAAGAAAGGCCCACACGUCGGGUUUAUAUAGAGAUAUUAACGUGCCGCGCAAUUUUAUAUCAUCUAGAAGACUCCAGAAGCCACGGGACCGAAGCGGAGGCCGAGAGGACUCAGGGACAGGGCGCCCGCCCUAGUCCUUAGGGCGCCCGCCCUCCUAUUCUGCCCAAUCAGGGUACAACUCAGGGAUCAUGCUCCACCGACCUAAAGGAUCAAGGAUAACCAUUCAAUCCAUGUCAGUUUGAUCCAACGGCCCAGAUUCAUCUGAAAAGACUAUAUAAGCAAGGCCCCCUGGCCCCUGGAGAUCAUACCUCUUCUACAGAAUCAAAGUUAGGGUUUCAAUUCUUCAUCCAAGUAGAGAGGAUCCCUCUAGUUCUUCUAGUUCUACCUCUAGUUCAUCUAGUUCUAGUUCUAGUUCUAGUUCAUCUAGUUCUAGUUCUAGUUCCUCUAGUUCUAGUUCUAGUUAGUUCUAGUUGUAAUCUAGAAAAUUGGGAGAGAGAAGAGGAGAGCGAAGGAGGAGGAGACGGAUCUGUCAGAUCUUCCUCAACAUUGUACUUUUGCAGCAACUGGUUCGUUCUUCAUCGUUCUCUAGGUUCUUCAAUUCACAAUUCCUGAGUUCUUUAAUUACUUUUAUUUACAUUCAAGUUAUUUAUUGGAUUCUCGCUUGCAUCAAGUGCUCUAAUCUUUAAAACAUUAGAGUAGUAAUUAAUAGAUUAGACGUGGUGUUUAGUCUUGCAAUUACCUGGAAUUGCACCCAAUCCUGCGGAUUGUUGUGGUAGCCCUAGGGUAGUGAUAGCCCUAACGGUCGACGUAUUCCACCUCGUUCGGAUCGGUGUUUGUAGGACCGUAGUCAGACCUUCCUAGCCUCUUUCUGUGGUUAGUGCUCUGAUGUCGCGAUAUAGAUAAUCUUGAAGUAAUUCUUGAUUCUUAGAUCAACUAGAGAACUCUCAGGAAACUUCCUCUCUUCCCACCAAAAAUAAUUAUAUAGUUAUCCUUGGGCGAUCUUGAUUCUUAAUUAGUACACUCACGUUCCCUGUGGAAAAUCGAUACUCUGGAAUACUCCCGGGUGAAGGCUACAUCGGUAUUCGUGCGCUUGCGGAUUUUUCUGUUUGCGUUUAAAAUACCCAACAGCAAGCGGUGUUGAUGGCCUCACACCAAAAUAUAUUCGACGUCUUGUAUUCAUCAAGCAUAGUUCUUGCCAUGUCGAUAAGUGUUCUAUUCUUCCUCUCUACCACACCAUUUUGUUGUGGGGUGUACGUGGUUGAAAAUUCAUGCUUGAUGCCUUCAUCAUCAAGAAACUCUUCAACUUGAGUGUUUUUGAAUUCGGUCCCAUUGUCACUUCUUACUUUCUUGAUAGGAAGACCAAAUUCCUUUUGUGCUCGUCUGACGAAGGUUUUCACCUUGUCUUGUACCUGACACUUGUCAUAAACAAAGAACACCCAAGUGAAACGUGAAUAAUCAUCAACAAUUACUAAUCCAUAUUUGUUACCCCCAAAGCUUAGGUAGGCGACCGGUACAAAGAGAUCCAUGUGUAUCAACUCCAAGGGUUGAGUGGUAGUCAUUAUGCUCUUUGGUGGGUGAGGUACACCUACUUGUUUUUCGGCCUGGCAAGCGCUACAAAUCCUAUCUUUUUCAAAACUAACAUUUGUUAGUCCAAGGAUGUGGUUGUCUUUCAAGAGUUUGGCCAAAUUCCUCAUCCCAACAUGAGCUAGUCGGCGAUGCCAUAGCCAACCCAUGCUGGAUUUUGCCACUAAACAGGUCUCAAUCUUGGUUUCACUCUUGCUGAAGUCAACAAGGUAAAGUUUAUUUUUCAACCGACCCGUAAAGACAAUAGAGGCAUCCUCCCUCUUGAAGACUUCCACACCCUUAUCCGUAAAGAGACAAUUGUAUCCCAUUUCACAUAGUUGAGAAAUGGACAGCAAAUUGUAACUUAACGAAUCAACAUGUAAGACAUUUGAAAUAGAAUGAUCAAGUGAUAUAGCUACUUUACCAAGACCUAUCACUUCCCCUUUUGAGUUAUCACCAAAAACAAUGUUGUCAUUGGAGUUUGUUGUUGGGGAAUAUGAUGAAAACAUACUCCUUUCUCCGGUCAUAUGAUUUGUGCAGCCACUAUCAAGCACCCAACUUGAUCCACCGGAGGAGUAUGCCUGCAAAACAAGUUUAGUUGCUAGGUUUAGGUCCCCAAUCAUUCUUGGGGCCUCUCAUGUUAGUCACAAGAAUCUUAGGAACCCAAAUAGAGGUGUGAAGAUAAAUAUUUCUGUCCUUGCCAAUAUACUUGGCAAUCACCUCCCCUUUGCUAUUGUUUUUCAACACAAAACUAGAGUUCAAGCCUUGUUGAAAUAUUUGUGCCUUGGGUUGAUACUUAAGCUUGCUUGAUAUACCCCAGACUGUAUCUCUUGGUUUCUGGAUCUUUUUAUCCUGCUGGGACAUAUGCUUCUUGGACUUGUCACUAGCAUAGGAGGUAUGGGUGGCCUUCCCUUUCCAGUGGGGGGCGGCACUGCCGCCCUUGGUUGGCAGUGCUGCUCGGGGCAGCCAUGGUGUCACCUUCUGUGCAGGCUGUUCUGUACCUAUUUUUCCUUUGCUAGUAAAUUUCACACACUCAUAUCCAUUUAUUACCCUUCUUCCAUUUGUCUUGGCUCCUUUCUUUAGACCAAGUCCAUCCUUUAUAUAGGGGUGUCUCCCAUCCUUGUAUUGUGCUUUCUUUGAUGGAUUCUUCUUGCCAUUACUAACCUUAUUGCACUUCUCACUUAUGACAACAUUUAAUCUUGAGAUCUCUUUUCUCAUUUCACAUAUGUUCAUAAGGUUAGCUCCAUGAGUAUUUUUGUCAAUGUUGUGGCAAGUUUCACAUUUUAGACUAGUGGAGGAAUUAGAGGUGCCUUUUGUAUUAGAGGGCUAUGAGUUGCUCUCCAAAAGAAGAUAAUAUUGCCUCUCGAGUUUGUUGUGCUUUUCCUUUAAGACACAAUACUUAUCGUUGACUGCAAUAUUUGCCUUCUUUGUGAGAGCAUGUUCUCUUUGUUCCUCGGUCAAGACCUUGGUCAAAGAGUCCACCUCACUUCUCUCCAACACAAGAGCUUCCUUACAAGCAAUGUACAUAUUCUCUUUGCUCAAGUAAGUCAUCAUCUCUUGUUGCCAGCUCAGCUCGCACACUCUCUAAAUCCUCCAAUAGUUUAGUGAUGAAUAUUUUGGUCUUAGGAUCUAACUUUCUUGUUAUUUGAACGAACUCAUCAUUGUCACUAAGAUCAUCAUCACUAGAGCUUUCACUAAGUUCACUACUAGAUAUAUCACUAGGGAUUUGAGAGGAUUUGGAUUUAGUUUUUACCUUCUCACCCUUUGCCAUAAGACAAAUGUGAGGGGAGAUAUGAUCAUCGUCAUCAGACAUGUUGGAGAAGAGCUUCGGUGUUGAGGAUGAUCCUUGAAUUGCCAAGGUUGCAACUUUCAUAUCCUCAUCACUUGACUCUUUAGUUGAAUCCCACUCAUGUCCAAUGUGUGCUUCUCCCAAUUGCUUAUUUUUCUUCUUGUAUUCAUGCUUGCCUUCUCUAAUGUUGUCUCUCUUGUAGUUAUUCUCCUUCUUCUCAUAAGGACACUUGGCAACAAAGUGCUCGGUGCUGCCACAAUUAUAGCAAGUUCUCUUUUUCUUGUUUGGGAACUUUCUUUGGACAACUUUAUAUCCAUUUUGCUUCAGCCCCUUGUGAUACUUCCUUAUAAAUAAAGCCAUGUCAUCAAUUUUCUUGAAAUCAGCCCCUUGUGUUUCUUCUUCUUCACUUGAAGAUGAGCUUGUGUCCUCUCUUGUUUGCACUUGUUUUGGUUCUUUGGAUUGACUAGUUGAUGUUUGCUUGCUGUCCUUGAUCUUGUUUGAGCUUCCUUUCUUGCUUGAUUUGUUGGCUUUGAGAGCAACUUCUUUAAUCUUCAUGCCAUCUAGUUUUGCUUGCAGCUCACCGAGCUUCCUUCUUUUAUUUGCUUCUUCUCUUUGCAUGUCAAAAGUCAACAAUCUUCCAAGCACAUCAUUUGGUGUGAAGUGCUCAAACUUUUUCUUAUCCCUAAUCAAGGUGACUACGGUCUCAUUUCUUGGUGAGUAUGCUUCCAACAUGAUUUUCACCACCUUGUGAUCAUCAAGCUCCUCACAACCAUACCCUCUAAUUUUGCCAACCAAGGUCAUCAAUCUAUCAAACAUCUCUUGAGGACCUUCUCCAUCAAUUAUCACAAACCUAUUUAGCUUAGCCAUCAAUAAGUCAAUUUUGGCUCUUCUCACUUUGUCCACACCCUCAUGUGCAAGAUGCAAGGUGUCCCAAAUCUGUUUUGCCACAUCAACAUUCAUCACUCUAUUGUACUCAUUUCCAUCUAGAGCACUAAGGAGAAUGCUUGUGGCUUGUCCGUUGAGGUGGACAGCAGCUAGCUCUUCAUUUGUUGGCUCUUCGGGGUUCUCUGGUGCUUGAAAUCCACUACACACAAUUUCCCAAAGACUGGGGUGAAGACCGAUAAGAUAAGCCUUCAUCAAGUGCUUCCACUUGGCAAAGUUUGUCCCAUUGAAAUGAGGCAACUUCCUGGCGGGCACGUUAAUGAAAGACUUGCGGUCACGAUUAGUCAAGUAAGAAUAAUUAAAGGAUACGGCUGAAUAUUUCUUCUUGUUGGUGCUCUCCUUGUCUUUGUUUGUCUUUUUCUUGUUCUUCUCUUGUUCCUUGGAAACGUGAUACGAUGCAUCAUCAUCCCCAUCUUCCGAGCUACUAGAUAGCUCACUCGAAGAAGCAUCAUACGUCUUUCUUUCUUCUUGCUUUGUUCUUGCAGCCCUUCUUUUUGCUCUUUCUUCGCGUAUGCGCUUUCUUUCUUCUUUUCUCUUCAGCUUCUCAUCAUGCUUUUGUUGUUCUUCUUUUGCUUUUCUCCUUGCUUCUCUUCUUGCUCUUCUUUCUUUCUUUCCACAUCGGUGGUCCUGUCAUCUUUGAGGGUAGCAUUGCCUGCUGUGGACAGUGACAUCUCACGGUCACUGCUUGCAUCCUCGACAAGCACAUCAUCAUCCUUUGGCUCUCGUGUGGAUCUUGAACCUCUUCCAACUUCCAUACUUCACGCGGUGAAGCGUAUCUGAAGUAAUGAGGCUUUGAUACCACUUGUAGGAUCUCCUGAAAGUAAAAGAGGCCUAGAGGGGGGUGAAUAGGCCUGUUAAAAAUUAAUUCAAAACUCUGUUAGCUCAGAGGGCGGCACUGCCGGCCUUCUAGGGCAUCACUGCCGGCCUACAAAUAAAAUACCCACGGUGAUAAAACUUUGUAGGAAGUUAACUUACGUAAAGAAGAGUCCAAUCCUGCAAAACAAGGAAAAGAUCCAGUACGAAGAUUGGAUACCACAGAAAAGUCUCACAAGACUAGAUCGGGUUACCAAACCCUAGAAGAGUAUAACUUUGAGAAAUAAUCUGCAAGAAGCACACAAGACUCAGAGAUUUAUCCCGUGGUUCAGCUCACCACAAAGGCUUGCCUAGGUCCACGUUAUUGAGGAAGCCACAAAAGGCUUAGGCUUGCCACAAAGGCUUGCCCUACCCUUGUUCUCAAGUCAAGAGAGUAAACUCUUGAAGUGAGGGGUAAUUUCUUAGCUGCAAAAACAAGUUUACAAACCUCCCAAGGCUGCCACACAGGAGGGCAAGCUCAUGGGCGACGCCUAGCCGGCUAGGAGCAAGCUCCAAGAGUAAUAAACCCUAGAACCGCCGACCAAACGUGAACCAAAUGCUCUUAGACUUUUGGAAGCAGUGGAUCUACUCUCCAAUCGAGUUUUGCUGCCUUUUCUCUCAAGGAUUGAUGGUUGGAAUCAAAGAUUGCUUGAGGGAUGGAGAGCAACAACGGAGGAGAGAGAGAGAGCUCUGGUCUGUCUGAGCAAGAGAUAAGUUGUCUGAGGUCCAAGAUGACCGUUGUGAGGAGCGUCCAGAGGUAUAUACCUCCCCUAGGUCCCAACGGUCAGAAGAGGGCGGCACUGCCGCCCAUGAUGGGCAGUACGGCCACCCUGGCUAGAGCAGGUUAAGAAGAAAACUGUUUUACGUGCUGCUUUGGCUGAGAAAGAGGAAGUUGUUUUGAGAAGAUGAGCAUCUGGUUGCAUAGUUGAUCAACAAUUCUAGAAUUCCCCUUUAUAGUACGGCUUUUCCUAAACUCAAAUAAAGAAUAUAAAAUGAAGUAACACGUCUUUGAGUUUGGAUCAGCUCAAACAUGUUUUCAGAAUACCAGCAACCUGUACAUCACUUCUAUCGUUUUGAUCCCCUACUCAUUAACUCGAUAAAACUUGUUAGUCCUCUAAUUUUAUUGUCAUUAACACCAAUACCCACAAUAGGGCUUGAUUGCACUUACACGGUGCCUAACCCUAACCGGGCCUGGCUGCCUGCACAGCGGACGCAUAGGCACAACGUCGGUGCUUCUGGGCUAGCGUCCGGUGAGUGUUUCCCGUGACUUCUCCGAAAUUCCCAUCGGCGCAAUAGAAAAUAUGCACUUCAUUUUCUCAAAAACCAUCCUCUCUCUACCCUUCAAACUCCACCUCCUUAUCAAAGCGUGCUAACACCACAAAGUGUAAACCAACAUGUGCACGUGUGUUAGCAUUUUCACAAUCAUUUUCUUCGAAGGAGUUAAGUUAGCUCACUAGGUUCUAAAUGCAUGCACAUGAACAAUGACACCUAGUGGCACUUGAUAACCGCUUAGCCAAAGAAUUAUAGUACGACUAUCUAUCCUAGAUGUGAUCACACCCUCUAUGGUGUCUUGAUCACUAAAACCAAAAACCUAAGCAAUACCUUUGCCUUGAUCUCCAUAGGGUUUUGUUUUUCUCUUUCUUAUUUUCCAAGUUGAGCACUUGAUCACCUUGUGGUCAUCAUCAUCAUCACCAUGAUCAUCACUUCCUCCAUCACUUGGCAUGUACCAACCUCAUUAAGUCUACACACACUUAGUAUAGAGGUUAGUACUUGGGUUUCAUCAAUUAUCCAAAAACCAAACUAGGGCUUUCAACUAUCCCCGAUGACGCAGUAAGUUUUCUCCCAAUACUUAGUCCUUUCUUUAUUUUUAACUUCAUCAGCAACUAACUCUUUUAUUUGACAGGUCGAUCACCCAGUAUCAGUCAUGAGCAAAAGUGGGCGACCUUUCGAUCUACGGCCAGUGUCCUCGAUCUCACCAAUCGGUUACAAUGCCCCUACCUUGGCGGCUUUGACUCAUCGGGGAGCCCGUCCUAGGGAAACCACCACCAAGCGCCCAAAAGCCACUCAAUUGGUUGCUGCUGCAACUCAAGUGAAAGCAUUCAAGGUAACAAUUCUAUUUACUUCAAUCUAUGCCAAUCUCAAACUGUACUGACAUUAUCUUUCCAAGGCAUUACAUCUGCAACCGGGGCAUCAUCCUUGAUGAACCUUCAGAGGUACUUUUCUGGCUUCACAUUUAACUUUAUCAAACAUCAUGCCUUACCUCUGUUUUGCAGCAAUAAACCGAUGCAUCGACAAGAGCUCCAGACACUCAACCAACAAGUGCUGAUGCCCCUAGCCAGCGACCGCAAAAGCCCAAACCAAAUGCAAAGCUCUGACAAGCACCAAGACCCAACCGAAGUGGCAAAAAGCUGCACCAUCCUCACCACCCCAGCCAAUGUCUCUAAGUCAAGCUGAACCAGUCGAUGCACCUGAGUAGACAAUUGACCCGCCCGACCAAGGCACGUCAUCGGCCAUCGAACCUGAGCAAACCAUCGUUGCUCCUGCACAAGGUAUGCCAUCGGUCGCUGUAUUCCAACAAUUUACUGCUGAUGAAUUUGCAAAGGAAUUGCCAUUACACUUUUCAUACUUAUUCUUGAAUGAUUCACUCCCUUCCUGUAGGAACAAGACUCUCCCGAUAGCCUUUUCUCUUUCGCCAUCGACAUCCCUGAUGAUGAAGGGGAAGAAGCAACUAAACUGACAUUAGGAACAGUAUCGGCAGAAGUUAAAUCUAAACUGGAGGGCCUAUUAAGCUUGCUGGAGCAAGAUACUGCUCAACUGGUAGAUGACCCAGACCCGGCAAAGAUUAUUUUGAAGACAGUCUGUGGCUAAAUCCCUGCCAAUGUUGAGGAAGCACUCUUCUAGGCUGCUCAUUUGGAAAGUCGCCAGCUUCAAUAUCAGAAGGCUACUCAGCGCAUUGCCGACAGGGCUGCCCAGGCUCAUCUUAAGGAAGAGAUGCUGCAAGUGAAGCAUAUUGCUGAUGAGAAACAUAAAAGCAUCGGCAAUUUGCAGACCUCAAGUGCUAAAUUGAAGCAGAAGAUCUCAGGACUGUUGGCAAGGAAAGAAGCUCUAUUGGUCGAGCAUAAGGAAGUCGAGGAAGCACUGAUCCGUGCCAAACACAAAGAAAGUCAACUGCCUGAUACCAUCAAAACCCUUCAACAGGAGAGGGAUGUCUAAGCCCGUAAAGCCCUGGCGAUGAAGAAGAAGCUCUAGCCAGUGGAGGGUUCUGCCGAUGAAGACAACAAAGAGAUAGAGGAAGCUAACCAGAUUCGCCUAUGUGUGAUAUCGGCUAUCCAAUCCUUACUAAACGUGUAAAUUUCUUUAUCGACAGCAUGUUACAUCGGUACUUCUCAGAAAUGUUAAAACUUUUGUCCAGCAGAUAGGAUUGUUAUCAACAUUUACACUUUCAUGCUUCCAUCCAAAUACUAGGAUAAUAAUUCUUCAAAAAUUUUCCAUUUAAUGCUCUAGGAAACUCAACCCCUUCGAGGGUUUCUAGAAUAUACGCGUUGCCACGAACAGAUCGACUUAUCCGAUAAGGACCUUUCCAAUUAGGGGACCAUUUACCAAACUUUGAACUUUUAGUCCCAAUCGGUAGAAUUAAUUUCUAAACCAGAUCUCCAUCAACAAUUUUUUUUACCUUUACUUUCUUAUCAUACCACUUGGCUACCCUCUUUUUAUUUUCUUCGAUGCUAACCAAAGCUUUUAACCGAUAACCUACCAUGUCUUCCAACUCAUCCCUCAUUGGAGUAUCGUAAUCAUCGGUUGUUAGUUGAUCUUGAGAAGAUACCUGCCUAGAGCCAAUUUUAAUAUCCCAAGGUAGUACUGCAUCAUGUCCAUAUACUAAGUAGUAAAGUGAGACCUUGGUAGCACCAUGACAUGCCAUCUGAUAUGACCAUAGAGCUUCAUUUAACACCGUAUGCCACCAUCUUGGGUUUUCUUCAAUUUUACGUUUAAUGAGUUUAAUAAUUCCCUUAUUAGAAGCUUCGGCCUAACCAUUAGCUUGAGCAUAAUAAGGGGAAGAAUUUAAAAUUUAAAUCCCCAUACCGAUGGCAAACUCAUCAAACUCUCCUCAUGUAAACAUAGUACCCUGAUCAGUAGUUAUAGUUUGAGGAAUACCAAAUCGGUAAACAAUAUGCUCUUUUACAAAAUCAAUCAUGUUGGCCGAUGUCAUCUUUUUCAAAGGAAUUGCUUCAACCCACUUAGUGAAAUAAUCGGUAGCAACAAGUAUAAAUUUAUGUCCUUUGCUCGAUGGUGGAUAAAUUUGACCGAUGAGAUCAAUAGCCUAUCCCUAGAACGGCCACGGUUUAAUGAUAGGAUUCUGUAACACCCCAAAAUUUGCAAUUUCCCAAAAUAGGAGAAAUGGUUUUAAUUGUGUAUUUUUGUGCCCAUGAAAUAUAGGAAAAAUAACAUUUUUAUUUAAUUAAAAUAUACUAUAGGAGUUAACAUCUUGUUUGAGCACGCAUGCCUCUGCAUUUGAUUUAUUGUGAUGAGUGGUUUUGGCUAAAGAUUAAAAAGAGAUUCAAACUUGGUUUUGAAAAUGUUUUGAAAUAGGUUUGUUUUAAAAGAAAAGGGAAACAAAAAAAAGAAGAACUCUCCCUCUCUAUUUUCGGCCCGAAGGCCCAGAACCUUUCCCUCCCCCUUUUCUUCUUCUCUCUGGCCCAAGUGGCAACUGCGGCCCAGCUUCCCCCCCCGCGCCAGCAUCCUUCCCCCUCUCUCCUUUCCACUGACGAGUGGGUCCCACGCCCUUGAAUCACAGACAGGUGGGGCUCACCUGUCGGACUCGUCUCCUACCUCAUGACGAAGCCGGACUCCAUCACGAGUUGGAAACGGACGCGCGUGAUCCUCGCGGUUGGCUUGCCCCGCACGCCGAGGGGGCCUUAAAUAGCGCCCCAGCUCUGCCAAACCACCCUACCCCAACUCUAGGACGAGCAGCCGCCGCAGCCGAGCCAUAGAACGCCACCGAGAUCCGCGCUGCACUCGGAAUUCCGCAGCGCCGUAGCUUUGCCUCCGUAAGCUCCAUGCCAAGCUUGAUACCGUCCAUGCGAUUUCGCUGAGUCUUCCCUCUUGUGAUUUCAUGCUCUCUACACUCCGUGUGACCUCGCCGAACUUUCACAGAGGCCGUCGUCCGCCCUCCACCGUCGUGGGCACUCUCGGGUCGAUCUCGGCUCUACUCCUUGCCCUAGGUGAGUUCGCCUUGAGCUCCACUACGCCCCGGUGCAAUCGGUUUGUUUCAUAGUGCCCUAAUCCGCUCAAACCACGAACGCCGGCCAACUCCGGCCAUGGCGCCGCCAGGUUCGGCCCCAACUCCGGCCGGCGAACUCCCUCUCCCUCCCCACGAUCUAAUCUCGGCCAUUCACCCGCGAUCCGACGGCUCAAAUCAAAAGGUACCCCUUCGGCCGCAUCUUUUACAAAAGAACCCCCCGGGGUUUUAAAGAUAUAACCCGCAGUCCAAAACGCACUUCUGAAAAUAUGUUUUCCGAUUUCGAAGACAUAAACUCACUACUCAGAUUCAAAAUACGUUUUUAUGAAAUUACAAGUUUGCCACUGGUUUUAUAUUGCUCAUAAAAUAUUUGUUUUAACUCCGAUUUGAUCCAUUCAAAUUGCGUUAGAUUCGUAAUCACAAGAUCUACAUGUUAGUCUCAUUGCUUUACAAGUUUACAACUUUUUAUUUUCGUGAUCCUAUUUAAUUAAUUAUUUUUUCUAAAGAAAAUCUUAGAAAAAUCAUAACUUCUUCGUUAUAGCUUCGAUUUUCGUGAUCUUUAUGCCUGUGUGAUCGUAGAGCGAUGUAGAUUUGUUUUAUAAACUUUUCAUCUUUAUUUGCAACUGUUGGUGUAUUGUUCUAAUUAUAAGUUUGUUUGCUUUGUAUGUUUGCCUCUGGAUGAUUGCUGUUGAUGUGAUGACUGAGUUUAGUCGGUGAGCUUUUGCGUGGUGAUCAAGGAGCAAUUUGUGGAAGGUUUGGAACUAAAAGAAGGAUCUGAGUUUCAAGGCAAGUAUAGCAUGGGAUCAUCCUUGUUGCCUAAUAACUUUAAUCACACAAUUCAUAUUGCAUGUGUCUCCUUGUUAAGGAUUUCCUAGUAUUGAUCUUAUACCUUGUCACCGAUUGUUUUGCAUUGGGUAGCUUAUGCUAGCGCUCCACUAAACCAUGAUCUUGUAAUUUGAUUAAUGGAAUAUGCAAUAAACAUUAAAGGUUGACUUUUUAGCAACUUUGGAAAAAGAGGGCUGGAGCAUUGGGCUAUCUUAUGGUGCUCUAGUUUCUCUCCAUAAGGACUUAUCUGUAUCUGACCAUCCGGGACAUACAGUACAACUGUGAGGCCUACGUGGCUCUGGCUUUAGCUCAGUAUGAGGACCUUUUCUAGCUUGUUAGUGGUUACCCUUGUGGCGCAAGUGGGGGAUAGCAGACCGUGGAUUCCUGCGGGUGAGUCACACGGACUGACUAACGAAACCUAGCGGCCCUAACUUGUUAGACGAACCUUUGAAAGGCUUCAUAGUGAACCCUGCCGGUCUUCCUUGGGAGUGGGCUAAGGGGCUGAUCACCACGGGCGAAAGGAUAAAUCACGACUCACAGUGAAAGUGUACAACCUCUGCAGAGUGUAAAACUCAUAUAUAUCAGCCGUGCUCACGGUUACGAGCGGCCUUAGACCAAUACAGAAUAAAUGAUCACUAAUGGCAAAUUAUUAAAGUUAUUAUUGUAAAUAUGUGGUUUAUGCUAUUCUUUAUUCAUCUUACUUGAUCAUGAGUUUACUUUGGGGAUUUGACAUCUUGAUGCUACUCAUAUGCUAAGAUUAUGACAACUGAAAGCUACAUGCAGUUCAACCAGUGUCUAGCCUUUGAGCCUCAUGAACCCCAUGUUAUUCUUACUGAGUACCAUAUGUACUUACGCUCGCUUUUACAUUUUAUUUGGAUAAAAAUCCCAGAUGGGUACCAGAUUGCUAGUCUGGACAAGAGUUUAGGCUUGUGCUCAACCAGUCAGUUGUCCCUGUGGAUUUGGAGCUUUCGCCUGAAGAACGGAGAGUCUUUCCGCUGUUUGCUGUCUAAGGUUAUAUCUUUUAUACUAAGUUCGUUAUAUUUAAGCAUUGACUAUUGAUAUUACCCUUAUUUGUGGCUAUAUGUGAGAUUUGACUUCCUGGGCUCACAUAUGGUGUGUAUCUGGUUUUGUUCUUAAAACCGGGUGCUACAGAUUCAUGGCCGAUGCAGGCGCUCAUUGAACAUUGCCAAACUUUUGACACCCCUGGCAUCCUUUAAAAUAUUUGAAGCAAUAUUCAAGAAUAGUUGGCCAAUAAUAUUUGUUCCUUCUAAUCAUCCAUUUCAUCAUGAAAGCUGACUGAUGUGCCCCACACACUCCUUCAUGAAUUUCACCCAUCAAGCUUUUUGAUUCAUCAUUGCUAAGACAUUUGAGCAAAACUCCAUCUAAAGUGUGAUAAUAUAACUCAUCAUCGAGGAGCACAUACUUAGUAGCUUGAAACCUAACGCACCUUUCAACCUUUUUAGAUGGGUCCCUUAAGUAAUCAGUAAUCUCUAUUCACCAAUCAUCGGCAUGAACUGCCGAUGUCAGCACCUCUUUGAUAGGCUGAUACCCUAAGGCGUGCUGAGCUAGCCGAUUAGCUUCCUCAUUAUGCAAACAGGGAAUAUACUCCUGGCGAAAAUCUUUAAACUCUUUCAAUAAUUGCAAACAUCUUUCAUAAUACGAAAUUAAAACCUCACUUUGGCAUUCAUAAAUCCCAGUCAAUUGAUUUAUAACAAGUAUAGAAUCACCGAAGACCUCAACAGCAUCGGCACAUAUUUCUCUAAGUAAUUCCAACCCCUUCACCAAAGCUUGAUACUCAGUCUGAUUAUUUGUCGAUGUAGCAACAAUUGGCAAUGAAAACUCAAACAUCCUUCCUCCGGGUGAAAUUAACACCACGUCGAUGCCUGCUCCAUGAUCACAGGUAUCGACGUGCCCAGGGAGCAACUUCCAAAGAAUCCACUAUAUUGCAACGUUGAGUAACAAAAUUAGCCAUAAUCUGCCCUUUAACUGCCUUAGCCGAUUCGUAGUGUAGAUCAAAUUCUGACAACACUAAAAUCCACUUGCCAAUUCUACCACUUAAAAUUGGCAUUGAUGGCAUGUAUUUGACCACAUCAUCUUUGCAUAUGACAGUACAUUCGGCCGAUAGCAAAUAAUGCCUUAAUUUAGUACAAGAAAAGUACAAACAUAAGCGCAACUUCUCAGCCUAUAUUUAUACUCCAACCUAAAGAGUCACAACCAAAUAUGACUAGGUCCUGUUUCUAAGACAAAAUAUGACUCUUACAUAAGGCAUAUCCUAACAAAUAUAAAAAAUAACACCUAUCUACUUUUGUGUCUGACUUAACUACGAUGAAACCUUCAUUGGUCCCCGCUCCAUCGGCAUACUUCCUGCCAUCAUAGGCUUCACCAGCAGCAGUCUCCGUUUCUUCCUUCAUCAACAUCGGCAAUGUAUCCUAUCGGCAAUAGUUUUCAAACUGCCAUCGGCAAAUGCCACCUCUGAUCUCACCAGUCAGCACUUUUGAAUUUAAAUUAAAAGGCAAUCCCUUCUCGAACAAUCCUCUUUCAUCGAUAACAACCCCCAUCGGCUGAUCUUCAUCGGCACCUCUCUGUUAGUACAAUGCAAUAACUUCCCUACUACCGAUUGACCCAUCUUGAUUAUCUUGACCCGUACCAAAAAUGGUGUCAACAGAAAUACUUUAAAUCUUUAAUCUAUUACCAUACAAGUCAUGUACAUACACUAUUUAUUUUAUCACCAAUUCCUCUAUAGUGUAACCAAAUAUUAGUUUUUUUAUUAGCUUAGCAAUUUUUUACUAAAUCUAAUACAAUAAAAUACAUGCAAGUCAUAUAGUAAUGCUAUGUAUAUAAUGAUUUAUUUUAAAGAAAAUCCCACAGCAAUGCACUGGAAUUUUACCAAGUAUUAGUUAUUCUAAAAUUCAUGUGAGUCAUUACCUCCUUAAGCUUCAUGUGGUCAGUAUCAAUGUUCAAAUUGGUGGAUGGAUCCCGAUACCAUUGCAUAGCUUUUAGUGCUGCAGUACAGCCCAUAGCAUGAGCUGUGUAGGAAUGGCCAUGUAAGAGCGCCAUAAGCUGGACGUGGUAAAAAAUGGAAUCGGUGCUUGUACCAUUCUGGUUUUUUAAAAGAAGACCAGAGUCGUCAUAUGUGUGUCCACACAUAUAACAAAAAAAUAGAAAUAUCAAAAACAAUGUUAUAUAUAGCGGAAAACAUAUUUAUAAUAAUACUUACAACUAUUAGACUAUCGCGGAAUAGGUUUCUAAACUUCUUUCUCAGGCUCCAUUCUUCUCAGGGACGGCUAACUAGGAGCUUUGUAUGUCAAUCACUUCUGAUAUGCUUCUAGAAAACUCCAUGACAUCAUCGUCCUUCUUCUGAGUAGCAUUUUACUACACACUAGGGGUGUGGGGGAUAGCAAAGGUGAGUUCAUGUCGAACUCCACAAGUACAGAUGGAAAGUAUAAUGACAUGCAAGGCUUAAUCAAAGGAAAAGCUGACACUGUUUAACUAUAGGUGAGCUUUUUAGUUGGUAAACUUUUAUUACAACUCUAUUAUUAAAACAACCUAUUACUAGUGAGUGAAGCAUCCCAACCCUUAAUUAGAUGGAAGUAAAUUAACAAUAUUAUUAAUCAUCAUCAUUAUUAUUAUUACCGAGGUAGCAACCUUAGAUAGUAACUCGGGGUAGCAACCUCAUUAAGGUCAUGGGAUAGCAAUCCCAAUUAAGAACACAUGAUAGCAAUCCUACCAAACAUGAGGUAGCAACCUCAACCAAGUAUCCUUCUCCAAGUUCCAUGUAAAUCCAAUUUGGUCAUCAUGUGAGAGUCUAGGCCGCUCGUGACCGUGAGCACGGCUAAUAUAUCAGUUUUACACUCUACAGAUGUGUGCACUUUCACUCCAAGUCGUGAUUCCCAUUUGCUCAGGGUCAUGACUCCCCAAAAUACUUCCAAGGUGAGUAGGCAGAGUUUCACUACGAGACCUUUCACAGGGUCCAACUAAUAGGAUGCCACUCGUAUGUUUUGGCCGGGGCGCUCGACAGUCGUGCCCAUAGCCAUGGCGCACCGAUCAACCAACAACUUAAUAUCCAUUUCUAAGUUACUUCUUUAUGCCUACUCGGAAAGUAACACCCUACUAGUGGAGGUCCUGAUAAUUAGUCAAGGCAGAACCAUAUAGGUUGGAGCUACACUGUAUAUCUGAGGUGGCCGCUCCAUGACUAAGUCCUUACAGAGGGUAGAGACAGGUACGCCCGGCAUCUAGGCCAACCACUAGUACCCGCUCCCCCUGUCACCACCACCAUCACGAUGCUCAUAAGCAUCCAACAUGUCCAUCACCGCAUUGACCAUUAUCCAGCACGUAUUAAGCAUCAAGUUAAGUAGAGAUUAUUCUUUAUUAAAACUUAUGUAUAAGGUGAGUGGAGCAGCUAAGCAUAACUACUAUACUCGUAGUCUACCCAUAUACAUAACCCCAGGUGUACAAGGAAUGAUAGACAAAGCUAGUCACCUCCUUAAGGUUUGUAUUUAUUGGACACAUGCAAUGAAUGUAAAUAAUAUUAAAUGUAUAGGAGCAAAAUGAUCAAAGGGAGCCUGCACUUGCCUUUUUCCUAGAGUUUAACUCCUCAGAAGUCUUUGCUUCUAUCUUUCAAUCUUUAGCUUCUACUGCACUUGCCGAUCCUUAACUCUAGGUCUUCAAUGCUAAUGAACCACGCUUCUUCUACUCGAAGGUCACACCAAAUGGCAACACAAGCAAAUACACUAGGAGACAAACAAAUAAACAAGCAAACAUAACUACUAAGAACAUAAACCAAACAAAAAAGAAGCUUUGGAAAGAGCGCACUAAACGAUGUGGAUCAAUGCUAAGGUCAUGAGAGCGCAUAAACGGUCGAGAACGGAGCUAUCGUACUAUCGAGACUCGCAAUAUAACGGAGUAGACAGACUAUAUGCUUGUUGUAUUUUAUUUGAUGAAAUAAAAUAAUAGACAUUUCAGAGAACCAUCCUAAUGUUGGAUUAAUCAAAUUAUGUUGAAUUAUAAAAGCCAGAGUUAAACUUUAGUUAUAAUUUAAUUGCAGAUGAUUAUAUAUCAUUUAAGUCUUUUAAGCUUUUGUAAUUUUAGAAAAACAUAAGGCAAGUGAGCAACUAAUCAAAUCCUGGCAUGCGUCACAUUUGUACUAAACAAGUUAUAACUAAUAAAGAAUCAUUUAAGUUGAUAUUAAUAAAGUUAGCAUUUAUUUAUUUAUUUAUAAAAGAUCAAAAUUAUAAACGUAAGUUACUUUUAAUCCAAAAAGACAUUAGAUAAAUAUUAAACAAAUUAAUUAUAUAUUUUAUGUAUAACUAAAAGAAUUAUAAUAAUUAAAUAUUUAAGUUAACAUUAAUCAAGUUAAUAUUAGAUUAUAAAAAAACCAAAGUAUAAACCUAAAUUGUUUUUUUAUUAAUUAAAAAGGACACUCAGUAAAUAUUAAUUAAAUUAAUUGUAUUAAAAAACAUGAGACAUGGAAACAGCGUCGCUAACAAUUCACCACACUCGCAAAGCAAUAAAAUGGAAUUACAACCUAGAGUUUUAAUUAUAAAGUUAUUAAAUAAAUAUUAAACAAAAUGAAUUCAAAGUAAUAAAUUCAUAAUUGAAUGACAGAAAAAAGGUUAGCACUACUAGAUAGAGCGCGACGUUACGAAACUAACCCAAUGGAAACGGAACGAAACGAAGUUAGAAUGACUAAAUGACUAAGGAUUAACGAUAGUGGCAAACUUUUAAAUAAGUUGUCUUUCUGCCUUUGGUUCAGUUGACGUGAACUUGGUUGCCCUGGUGGCCAUGGCGCUGCUGCUGCUGCAUAACGUAGGAAAGGGGAGGGACUUGGCCAGCCGGAAGCACGCUGCAGUGGUGCAAGGCCACGGCGAUGCGGGCCCGCACGUGGGGUCAGCCGGCCUGCACAGCCACGGAGGGCGCUGCUGGGUGCCCUGCUCGAUCUCGAGCAGGCGCGUGCACACGAGGGCGGCUGUAACACCAAAAAAUUUGUUUUUCAAUUAAUAGGAUUUAAUGAAAAUUAUUUAAGCAAUUUUUGUGGACAUUUAAUCUAGUAAAUAAAAUAUUUUUGGUCAAAAUUAAAAUUUAUCCUAAGUUUAGGAACUUGUUUAUGCAUUCAUGCUGAAGAAUAUGUUAUUUUGUAUUGUUUGCCUCUCGCUUGAAUUUAUUUGCAUUCAAGAUUUUAUUUGGAAAAGGUUUUUGGAAAAGAAAACAGAAAAGAAAAAAAAAGAAAACCCCAGCCGAACCCCCCCUCUCACCCUCGCACUCGGCCCGCUAGCGGCCAGCCAGCCCCCUGGCUUCCCUUCCCGCCCCGGCCCAGCUCGUUGCGGCCCAAGCCGAGCAGUGGGCGCGCCCCUCUCCUUGGCCCACUGACAGCUGGAGCCCAUAUGUCAGCCGCGCCCCUUUCCCCUUCCUCCAGCCCGGUUUCGAACCGGACUCGACUGGGACGCACACGCACCCGAUCCCGCGAUACCUGGGAUUUCUUGACAAAUCGUGUGCACCGAGCCCCUAUAAAGGUUGCUAGACUCGCCCCGCACCCCGUUUUUCCACCGUGCCGCGAGAUCAAGCCCUAGGUGCCCUAUGCAAGCUCGGGUUUGGAUCUAGCCUACGCCGAGCCAUCCCAACGCGCAGCGCGAGCUCCUCGCUUCCUCUCGGCCCUUGCAAAGUGCCUAGGUGAGUCCGCGGUGAGCUCCUCGUUCUACCGAGGUUUUUUUUUGGCGUUUUGGUGCUCGGGAGCGAGAGAACCGAGAACUCCGGCGAGCACUCCCAUGCCGCCGCCGCGGGGAGGCUCAACUCUGGCCGGCCGCCGCCGUUAACCCCGUGGACGGAAUCCUGGCCGUCGGAUAGGGAAGUUAGAUGAAGAUUUUCCCAAUAGUAUAGUUAGGAUGAAUAAUUCCAAUAGUAUAGUUAGAUAAUCCCAAUAUUUUAUUUCUAGGGUUCAUCUAGGACACUGCUUCCUCAUCCGCCACCGCAGCCGCCUACCUCUCGCCGGCAGUCCUAACCUUGCGCUAGGACUUCUAGGUCGCCAUCGCCAAGGCCAUCGAUCUACGCUCUAGGCCAACAGCGGUGGUGACAAUUUGUGUGUUCCCCAGCCUCCACCGCCACUACCACUCAUAUUGCUGCUAUUUGCUUAGAGUUCUUAGAUUGGCUUGUCCUUUCGCUAGGAGUUAUCGGUGGCUACUGCCUACUACACUCAGCCUCUCAGACGUUUGUAAGGAAAAUGGACCAUUGGCCCAUUUACUAUGGAUUUUGGUGUUUGAUGAUCAACAUGACCAAAUUGGACUAAUAUGUUUGAAAGUGUGUUGGGUAUUUUAAACGCAAAUGGAAAAAUCUGCAAGCGCAGGGAUACCAAUGUAGCUUUCACCCUGGAGUAUUCUAGAGUAUCGAUUUUCCACAGGGAACGUGAAUGUACUAAUUAAGAUUCAAGAUCGCCCAAAGAUAACUAUAUAAUUAUUUUUGGUGGGAAGAGAGGAAGUUUCCUGAGAGUUCUCUAGUUGAUCUAAGAAUCAAGAAUUACUUCAAAGAUUUUUUAUUUCGGGACAUCAGAACACUAACCACAGAAAGAGAUGAGAAGGGGGCUAGGAAGCUCUGACUUUGGUCCUACAAACACCGAUUCGAACGAGGUGGAAUACGUCGACCGUUAGGGCUGUCACUACCCUAGGGCUGCCACAACAAUCCGCAGGAUUAGGUGUAAUUCUAGGUAAUUGGAAGACUAAACACCACGUCUAAUCUAUUAAUUACUACUCUAGCGUUUCAAAGACUAGAGCACCUGAUGCAAGCGGAAAUCCAAUAAAUAACUUGAAUGUAAAUAAAAGUAAUUAAAGAACUCAAGAAUUAUGAAUUGAAGAACUUGGAGAACGAUGAAGAACGAACCAACUGCUGCAAAAGUACAAUAUUGAGGAAGAUCCGACAGAUCCGGCUCCUCCUCCGCUCUCCUCUUCUCUCUCCCUAUUUUCUAGAUUACAAAUAGAACUAACUAGAACUAGAUGAACUAAAACUAGAACUAGAACUAGAACUAGAUGAACUAGAGAGAUCCUCUCUACUUGGAUGAAUAAUUGAAACCCUAGCUUUUAUUCUGUAGAAGAGAUAUCUCCUCUAGGGGCCAGGGGGCCUGCUUAUAUAGCCCUUCCAAAUGAACGUGGGCCGUCGGAUCAAACCGACCUUAAUCGUAUGGUUCUCCUUGAUUCUCAAAGGCGGUGGAGCACGAUCCGCGAGACCUGCCCUGAUUGGUCACCAGGGCAGGGCGGGCGCCCAGCCCCCGGGCCCGCUCGGCCUCCCGCUCAUUCCUGUGGCUUCUGGACUCUUCUAGAUGUUGGAUAAUUUCGGUGCAUGUUAAUAUCUCUAUGUAAACCCAACGUGUGGACCUUUCCUCCAUAUUUCCCGAUAACCCCCUGCAGAAAUAGACAAACACUCAAACUCGUGGAAUUCUGUUAGAUGAAACCCUAAUUUUGGAUGUUGGUUGCACAUAGGUCCUUUUCCAUGAUUAGUUGACGGUUAAAUGUGAGCAUUAAGGACCGUCAACAAGCUCCCCCAGGCUUAACCUAUGGUCGUCCCUAAGCAAAGAUGGACUCAAGAGUUUUUGCAGUGGUUUCAUGCCUUAAAGCUACACAUGCGUUCAAACAAGAUCUCAUCUUUGGGUUAGGGUAAACUAUUAAGAUUUAAACUUACUCAUUUUUCCUUCCACCAUGGGGCUUGCAACCGUCACUUGUGUCUUGAGCAGUUAAAAGAUAGAACGGUCUAGUCAAGCGCCAUGUCUCUUGUUCUUCGAUUAACUAUAGCUCUGGAGUUUUUGCAGAUUUUCAAAUAAAACUCAGAGAUUCCUUGUAUGACUCUCUCUAGUCUCUCUUUUGUGGUAUUUCUGGAUCCUUACCAAGGCAGUAAUGGAGUAUGCCUUCUCUCAAAGUAUGUGGUAUUUUUGGUAUGAGGCAUAGUGGCAUUGCCUUCUCUCUCACCCUACUCUAAUAAGGUUUUGACAUCUGGAGCUCAUAGGUGGGAGACAGCUAAUACAUACUUACAAGACAUUUAUUGCAUAGUCAAACCAUGGAUCGAGAAGAACAAGUCAAUAAGUCAAAUCAAGAUGUGCAUGUGUGGAGAAUGAAUGGUGAUAAUGGUGAAAAUAAUGGUGAAAGUCUAAUUCUACUGCUCUUUUGAGGGGGUACAUACCUUCCUUGCACUUGAGGCUUUUGAGGGGAAUGAGAUGCUCUAUAUUUUUAUUUUUCUUUUCUCUCAGGUGGGUAUCUUGUACCCCUAAUUCUACUGUCGGACACUUGUCUAUUUUUACCUCUCGUCUCACUUUUUCUCUUUUUUUCGAGGUUUCGGGCACUUGCCCCUUUUUAUUUCCUCAUAUUCACUUUUUUUCAGAGCACUCACCCUCCUGGAAUAAUGUAGUAAGUGGUAGUAACCAAAAUAUCUCGAGCAUUUAUUUCACGGGGAAUAACAGGGAUAGGAUAAUGUUUUUGGCUAUUCUCUCUUAGAUAGGAGUAGAAUAAUUUUGGGUGAAUCUGGAUAUGGAAAUGAGUGGAUGUAUGUGGAUGCGUACUUCCGGAGUAGAAGCAGCAUGUAUGAGUGAACGUGCAAGUGAAUCUUGAUUUUAACCACAUAAGAAGCUCCUAAUGGUCUACACAGCUUGACCACACUCAAUGCUCAUAAGCAGUAAAAAGUAAAUGUAUGGUUCAUAGUCUAAUAAACAUGUAUAUAUGGCUGUGGUAGGAUUUUAAACUCUCAUCAUACAGGAACUCAUCAUGCAACAUUUUAAAGAUUUUCAAAGAAAAAAUUCUCUAGAAUUCUAGCAUCUCUAGGAACAGAUAAACAACAGCUUAAUCUUCCUAUAUCAUAUCCGUUAAUGACUUAGACUUUAGAUCAAGUACUCUUCUCACAAGUUCAGGUUUAGAGCAAAUCUUAAUUAAUAACCGUCAUGCCUAAACUUGAGAGAGAUUUCAAUUUUGCGAACUAGUCAUGGCAGAGCAACUAUUCAUCAUUUCCAUGUGAGAGCUUAUCAUGAGGGUUCAUAUCAAACUUUAUUUAUUUAUUUAGCAAACUAAGCAAAGAUAUAUAUAAGCACAAAAUCUUUAUUUGGGUUUUUAUGAUUAUGCAUCUUUUUAUUGUUUGAGUAAAGUAUAAACGCAAAUAUAAACACUUAGCUAGAUAAAUGGGGGUGCUCUCCCCCAAGCUGGAUUUUGACGUAAUUUCUUCUGAUAUAGCUAGCAGGUGGCGGAGGUGUAUUUGAAUGUCGGCAGCACCCUGACAACGAUUAGGAUGUCCUCCGUCUGCUAGUCUUCUUUGAUCAUUGAAUUCUGUGAAGCUCAAAUAGACAACAAAGCUUUGUGGAACUAGUUAACAUAAAUAUCUAGCCUUUAUCAUGUUGAGCCUCCUCUUAUAAAUAUUACUCUCUUUGGUAGGAUCAUAAAUUUAUUUUUAUAUUUUAAUUUUUAUAGGACAGGAAUAUAUUUAUUUUAUUUUUACGCCACCAUAGUGAAUGUACUUAUGGGUUUUAUGCCAUGAGCAUACUCACAUGGGGCUUACUAUUUUUAACAUUUUUAUUUUCUUUUCAAGAUAGCAUGAUUAACUAACAAGCCAUUUAAUAAAAGUAAAUAAUUUAGGGGAAAAGGGAAUGCUGAAAGGAUAAAUAUGGAUAACUAUCGAUUUUACCUUUGGGCGAGGGUUCAAUGUUUUAAGUCUUCUGAACAAGACUUCUCGCCGUGUUCAUUCUUUAGGUGCAUCAUUUGAUUUAGGUGUGGACCUUGACGUCUGCACCUCUUGAUACGGUGUCACCCAUGUUCUUCGUUUGCCCAGCAGUUCGAAGUGCGGCGUUGGUAGCAUCCUGCUCAGUGUGUUUGUGCUCGUAGAUCUAGGUUCUUCACUUGGUGGAGUCUGAGAGUUGUAAAACUCCUCCAUAUUUUGCUCGAAGUAUACCUGCUCAUAGAGACAAGGCAGAGAUCAAGUGUAUGGGCCCCGUUGGUGGAAAACACCAACAGAACCAUAAGUGUAUUUGUUCUUCUCUAACCUUAAGCAUAGUGAGCAAGACAAAGUUGAUGGAUAAUAAGAUCAUGAGUGUAGCAUUUAAAACAUUUGUCAGAUCAGAUCGCUCAACCUAAUGGAAAGAUAAUCUAUCUAUACUUAUAUUUUUUCAUAUAUCUUCCAAAGAUUGCGUGUGCAAUAUUUUAGCUCAUAUGAUUAGGAGUGUGGGAUCACAAAGGUGGUAGGACAAAACAUACUGAAUCGAUUGGGUUGGUUAAUCUAGAGUUGUAAAUCAUACACGUUUGUCUCUUUUAUUAAUGUGAACGCUAGAACCAAGGAGAAGCUUAUAAAAGUGAUAGUCAAGUAUCUUAAGAUGUUAGCUUACUCGAAGAGUGAUGGUACAGUAUCACCUUGUGGAAGCUUUUCUUUCUUAGCGAUUGUGCAUUGUGUUUGUGGCACCCUCCAUGGAUCAUCUCUUGUGAGCUAUGCCUUCCUUGUGUAAAUUGUUAACCUUCAUGUCUCUCUCUCUUUGUCUCUAAUGUGAGUUUAUCUCAGGACUUCCUAGCUCGAUAUUGAAUGUUUUCCUGCAGGGGUUAGUCGAACAAAAUAUCCAAUAUCUACUAUAGCAUACUAUCGGCUCAAAAAUCAACCUAGACACCAUGUCUAAUUUGAUUUAGGAGAGCAUUUUAACCUAAGCACCAUGCUUAAUUUAAAAUCCCUUGGAAGUAAGAUCAUCUUUCCUAAACUAAGCACCAUACUUAAUUAAGAGAUAAAUGAAACUACUCCAAACCUAGUCAUAUACUAAAGCAAAUAAAGGUAGCAUGAGAGCAUUUAUAGAGAUCUACUCAAGUGGAGAUGAAGUAGUGUGAUUAGUAUUUAACAAAUUGAGCUUGUCUCAAAGGUAGGGACAACCAACAUAGCAACAUGGCAAAGGAUGUUUUUAUGUAAAGUACUCCCCCAAGCUUGAAUUUUGCAAAAUUCAAGUUUGGAUGAAUUUAAUUCAAUGUUGUAUGAUGAUUGGUUGGACAUACCUUGUGCUUGUCAUUCAUCCGAUCUUCUUGCUCUAAUCCUGGAAAGGUUAGUGACAAGAAUACCCAAACGAUUUUUUUACCAUUAUCCUUAUGUGCUCAAUACACAAGGUAAUGCUGCAAAUAAUUAAAAGCUCAUGUUACGAUCUGAUCAGUGCUUAUUUUAGGACAUAAGCUUGUCCUUGGGAAACCAUCAAUUUAUGUCGGCGAAGUGGUUUCCCCUCCAACGCUGACCUAUAUCAACUCAACGAGAUCUGCAAUAUUUAUUAUAAACAUAUGCAUCGACAACCGCCCUUUUAAAGUUUUUAUAAAUAGAAAGGAUGAGGGGGUUGGAGAUCUCAAAUGUGGUGAUGUUGGAGAGACCAAUAGAUUGGGAAGAUGUUGCAUAUGAGCAUGGAGUAAACGAAGUGGCUAUGAAAUAAAUUCCAUGCUCAUUAAUGUUUGGAGUGAAAUCCAUGUGGUAUGGUGAAAAUGGUAAGGUGAGUGUGGUAAAAAAAAGGAAAAGAAAAAGGAUACACGGACGACUUGGUUUGAAACUAGCACAGCUACCGUUCCCCGGCAACGGUGCCAGAAAGCUUGUUGGGUAUUUUAAACACAAACAGAAAAAUCCGCAAGCGCACGGAUACCGAUGUAGCUUUCACCCGGGAGUAUUCCAGAGUAUCGAUUUUCCACAGGGAACGUGAGUGUACUAAUUAAGAUUCAAGAUUGCCCAAAGAUAACUAUAUAAUUAUUUUUGGUCGGAAGAGAGGAAGUUUCGUGAGAGUUCUCUAGUUCAUCUAAGAAUCAAGAAUUACUUCAAAGAUUAUUUAUUUCGGGACAUCAGAACACUAACCACAGAAAGAGAUGAGAAGGGGGCUAGGAAGCUCUGACUUUGGUCCAACAAACACCAAUUCGAACGAGGUGGAAUACGUCGACCGUUAGGGCUGUCACUACCGUAGGGCUACCACAACAAUCCGCAGGAUUGGGUGUAAUUCUAGGUAAUUGGAAGACUAAACACCACAUCUAAUCUAUUAAUUACUACUCUAGCGUUUCAAAGACUAGAGCACCUAAUGCAAGCGAGAAUCCAAUAAAUAACUUGAAUAUAAAUAAAAGUAAUUAAAAAACUCAGGAAUUAUGAAUUGAAGAACUUGGAGAACGAUGAAGAACGAACCAGUUGCUGCAAAAGUACAAUGUUGAGGAAGAUCCGACAGAUCCGGCUCCUCCUCCGCUCUCCUCUUCUCUCUCCCUAUUCUCUAGAUUACAAAUAGAACUAACUAGAACUAGAUGAACUAGAACUAGAACUAGAUGAACUAGAGGGAUCCUCUCUACUUGGAUGAAUAAUGGAAACGCUAGCUUUGAUUCUGUAGAAGAAAUAUCUCCUCUAGGGGCCAGGGGGCCUGCUUAUAUAGCCCUUCCAAAUGAACAUGGGCCGUCGGAUCAAACCGACCUUAAUCGAAUGGUUCUCCUUGAUCCACAAAGGCGGUGGAGCAUGAUCCGCGAGACCUGCCCUGAUUGGUCACCAGGGCAGGGCGGGCGCCCAGCCCACGGGCCCGCUCGGCCUCCCGCUCAUUCUCGUGGCUUCUGGACUAUUCUAGAUGUUGGAUAAUUUUGGUGCAUGUUAAUAUCUCUAUGUAAACCCAAUGUGUGGACCUUUCCUCCAUAUUUCCUGAUAACCCCCUACAUAAAUAGACAAACACUGUAACUCGUGGAAUUCUGUGAGAUGAAACCCUAAUUUUGGAUGUUGGUUGCACAUAGGUCCUUUUCCUUGAUUAGUUGACGGUUAAAUGUGAGCAUUAAGGACCGUCAACAAGCUCCCCCAAGCUUAACCUAUGCUCGUCCCUGAGCAAGGAUGGACUCAAGAGUUUCUGCAGUGGUUUCAUGCCUUAAAGGUACACAUGCGUUCAAACAAGAUCUCAUCUCUGGGUUAGGGUAAACUAUUAAGAUUUAAACUUACUCAUUUUUCCUUCCACCAUGGGGCUUGCAACCGUCACUUGUGUCUUGAGCAGUUAAAAGAUAGAACGGUCUAGUCAAGCGCCAUGUAUCUUGUUCUUCGAUUAACUAUAGCUCUGGAGUUUUUGUAGAUUUUCAAAUAAAACUCAGAGAUUCCUUGUAUGACUCUCUCUAGUCUCUCUUUUGUGGUAUUUCUGGAUCCUUACCAAGGCAGUAAUGUAGUAUGCCUUCUCUCAAAGUAUGUGGUAUUUUUGGUAUGAGGCAUAGUGGCAUUGCCUUCACUCUCACCCUACUCAAAUAAGGUUUUGAUAUCUGGAGCUCAUAGGUGGGAGACAGCUAAUACAUACUUACAAGACAUUUAUUGCAUAGUAAAACCAUGGAUCCAGAAGAACAAGUCAAUAAGUCAAAUCAAGAUGUGCAUGUGUGGAGAAUGAAUGGUGAUAAUGGUGAAAAUAAUGGUGAAAGUCUAAUUCUACUGCUCUUUUGAGGGUGUACAUACCUUCCUUGCACUUCGACAAAGGUGAUGUGGUGAUCCAAUGAUCAAACCUCGAGUAAGACCAUAGAAGCACUAGAGAAGACCCAAGAAGUCAAGAAAAUUCGAAGCACAAAGUUUGGAACCAAGCUAAAUGCAAGAUCACCAAGAAAAAUCUUGGCAAAGGUGACCAGACGCGAGCCUAAAGGACCAAACAUGUCUGAUCAGCUGCUCGACAACUGCAGGCAUCAAUAGGGCUACCAAAUGCUGAGGGACAGGGUGACCGGACACACAAACUUCAUUGUUCAUUGUCAGGCCAACUUCACCAGCAUGACUGGACACAACAGCAGUAGAUGACCGGAUGCAAUGAGCAAUGUCCAAUUGCUACACAAAGAGGUUUCAAAGCAUCACUGACGUGGACACGUCGGACCGAUUGAGACCGAACUUGGUGCUGAGUUUGAUCGACGCACGUGCUCUAAUGGUUGGUAGGACCGGACAUGUCCGAUCAGGGCAUGACCCAUGUCUGGUCACUAGCAUUAUGUUGGGAUUCUGUCCCCAAUGGCUAGCUUCAACUUGGGGCUUAUAAAUAUAACCCCAACCAACCAUUUGAGAUGUGGAGAGCAGAGAAAACAUACCAAGGGUAUUGAUACACCAUUUUAGUGAUCUCCACUUGCAUAGUGCUUUACUUCAAAGCAAAACAAGCUUUAAUUCCAAAAAGAAGAACAUGCUUUUUAGUAAAAGUUUUAUUUAGAUAGAAUUUUAAUUGCUUAACAAUUGAUCAUAUGAAAAUUCACCAAAAAACUUAAUCCCUAACAUGGUCAUUAUUUUAUGAAUCAUGUUUAAACAUGACAUGCAAUAUGGAAAUGCUCGUGGCAUCAAUUCGUGAAAUAAAUAAAACAUGACAUAUGCACUAUGAAUAUGCUAAAAUUAAACCAUGAAAUGCAUCUUAUGCCUUAAUGCAUAAUGAUAAUGCAUGGUCAUUACUUAAUUAGAUUUUAAUUAGUAUAGUACCACUAGGGGUGUUACAGUAGAAGACCCAAAAGAUCAAGCAAAGUUCCAGUGCAAAGGAUGGAACCAAGAUAGAUGUUGGCAUUUAUUAACAUAAUGACCAAGUGAGGAGGUUUUAAGUCCAUCACUAUUAAUGUGACACCAUAAAUACUUGGUCGGCAUCUCUAAACAUCAUUACUAGAGAAUGUAGUUCCCUAACAUCAACCCCAGUACUUUAGCUAGGGGUUUACAGUUGCAACGUAAUGACACUUAGAAAUGCCUAUUACUAGUUCUAACUGUCACUACUUAGGAAAGUAUUCCCUCGGCAUUGGUGCUAAUAAUGCUUACUCGGAUCUACAGUCGCUGGGCAAUGACGCUUAGAAAAGCCUAUUGACAUUCUCUAGCACCAUUACUAAGAUUGAGUUAAUCUUAGAAAUGCCACCAAGGAACACCAACUAUGACAAUCCUUAAUGAUUACAAACAAAAUCCUUAAGCGUAUGAAACUAUCAUUAUAGCAUUUCACCUAGGAGUAUUCCAAGGUAUAGUUAUUUAUAUUUUUCUAAAGGAGGGGAGGUGUAAGGUAUCUAGAAUUGGUAUGAAUAUGAUGACAUACUUGCAUGAUGGACAUAGCAUAUUACAUGGGUAAAAAUGGUAUAUCACGGAUAGUGGACACACAUCUAGGCCUACCUCAAGGAUAAAAGGGAAACAAAGAACAAUUAGUGAUCAUACAAGUUAUAUGAUUAGACCUAGGGCUAAGUGUAAAAUGGGUCGGAAGGCCAUCGAGUACUAGUCUGCUAGCAUCCUCAUGUGACGAUUUAGAUUCAUAUUGUCUAACCAUGGAAAGGGAAAUGCGUUCACCUAUUCCUCCAUACCCAAGCACCAUGCUUGCAUAUGCAAAAACUACUCAAGUUCCUCUGGGUCCUUGACGAUAUGGAUUGAAUCGUAAAGGACUUAGGCACACGUGAAGGCAUGAUGAACUACCACCUCAACUUAGCUGUAGUUCUAAUCAUACAAGUCAGAAUGAUUAAGCAUAAAGUAGAACAUGUUAGAUCAUAACACACAAACUAUAUGCUAGUUCAUAUACCAUGAUUAUAACAUGAAGACAACUAUACUCUAGUUCAUAUGUAAAUAUGAAAGAUAUGAGAACAUGAACUUGGAAGAACUCUUCAUAGUAGUAUGCAUACCAAGUAGCACUUCUUCCAAGAAGACAAGCUCUCCUAGUAGCUUAGCCUUGCUCUCAAACUAAAACAAACUAUGAAAAGAGUACAAGUGAGAGGUGUGAGGUAGAGGCUCAAAAUGCAGUGUGUGCCUUGGAGGGGAGCUCCACCCUCUUCUCAUAGAGUGGCUUCAUGUUGGUUUAGCUUGAGGAAAUAUGGGAACCACUACCAAUUGAUGUUGCAUGCCUCCAUGCUAUUACCUCUAGAGUAAGUUGGGCCUGACAGGUGGCAUAGGGGUGCAGCCGCACCUAGGGCGCGUCCACACCCUGGUGGGCCCCCUUGCCACUGCCUUGCUCUGGUCAGCUGUUGGGUGGGCCUAGGAUCCUCCCACAUUGGUGCUUCAGCCCAGAUGUUUCAUGAAGAUGGGCUUCUCCAUUUUUUCCUUUGCAUAAUUUUGAGAUACACUUUCUACUUUUGUGCUUCUUCAUUAUUUUGUGUAUUUUCACCUAUUUUUUGAGAUUGAUGUGCAAAACAUGUUUUCUCACAAUAUAAGUGGAACUAAGUCAAUAAUAUAUGCAUAUGUAUGAAUGUUUGCUUAUUCCUUCUAUUUUGGAUAUAAAUUGGUAGUUGUAAAUGUGAAAUAGUGACUGCCAACAAUGAAUGCAAAGGCCAUGAAGAAACAAAGUGAACAGAGCAAAACAAGAGCUUUGGACCCUGAUGAAUAGGGAUCCAAAACAUGGACCUAGAGUCUGGUUGCUAACCCUAGUUUUAGGGAAUUCUAGACCCGGUGAACAGUGACCAACCUGACCAUCAAGUGCCUUAGUCUGGAGGUGCCUAGAGAGGUUCAAAAGAGCGUGAUUGAGUCUAAAAUGAGUCUAGCCAGAGGAUCUAGACCAUUGAUAAUCCGAUCUAGAGGGUGGCCCACAUGUUAGCCUUAGCGCAUGCAUAACAAUCAAUUCAAAUGGUUGCAUGUUAGUGAGUGUUGGGGAGGAACUAGACCUAGGAAGCAUGGUUUGGACCAAGCCCCAUACUUUGGUCUAGUGGUGCACAUAAAUGACCUCCAAAGGGACCACGGGUCUAUUUGCUUGGGCCUUAUAAAUGCCCCCAUGGCUAGCCAAACCAAAGGUGUGAGAGCCCAAAUAAUUGGUAUAUGAGUUGAGACUCAAUUUUAGUUGCUUUAGUGACCAAAGUUCUUAGUGAAAUAUUUGGUGAUUAGCGUAGGUGCUUUACAAAGUUCUUAGGUUAGUUAGAUCACCUGUUAUGUGCUUGCUAUACAUUUAGGCCUAGUGUUUAGUGAGGUUUGCAUACCUCUUACUACUAGAUGCUUGUGCACACCAUUGUUGUACUUGGUGGGGCCUGUAAGUGUUGAGAGACCACACCAAUCACACUUGUGGUGUGGCCACCACCAUGUACAUAGGUAACAAGGCCCAUGAUUUUUUGAAUAGAGGCUUGAUAGUGAAGACAGUGAGGAGCAGUCUAGGAGGCACAAUGGGGACCCACUUGCACGUGGGGAAGGCCUAGAGCUAUGCACGGAGCUACAUGACUGAGAGCUUGGCCUUUGUGAGAGAUUCCUUGCAAGGGGCACCAACAAGGACUACGGAGAAGCUUGCACACUUCUUGCUACCUCGAUAAAAAUACCAGAGUCAUCAAUGGGAGUUUGCAUCUCUACCUCACUCUUAGCUUCCACAUUUAUAUUGCUACCUUGGUUGCAUGCUUAUUUUUUGUAGCUUAGUUGAUAGGAUUAGAACCAAGGUUGCAUUAAUCUUUUGCGCUAGAGAUAGCAACACACUAGCAAAAGCUUAGUUGCACAAUUAGAUAGUUUAUUUAUUUGCAACAGUUUUGCUAAGGUGGAAUUUAGAGGCCAUAAUCAGAAGUAGAAUUAUAAGUUGCCUAAUUCACAUCCCCUCUUAGGUGUCAUGUUCCUUACACUUUUAAACAAGGUUCAGCCAUUUGCCUGCAUCCACAUGGCAUGACUAUGGCAGCUUGUCCGCAUAAAGAACAGGUACAUCCGAGUGCUCUUAUCACUUUGUCACCAUCCAAGCCAGCCAUCCCUUCAUUACAACAGGGCUGCAAUUUUCCAUUGAAAUAGGAUUGGGCUAACCAACUAAAAAUCUAUCCUAACCCCUAAUUCAUCUCAAAUGCAUUUGUAACGAAAUCAUAAACAUUUAUAUAAAUAAGGAUCUUGCACAUACAAAAAAUUCAUUCUACCAUUCCAUUAAAAUAUUAAUUGUGCUUCCCUUAGCAAAAAAGAUAAAAUCAUGAAAAUACAUAACACCCCAAAUUUAUCAUGUAGGAAACGUAUAUGGUAUUUUACACAACGAGAGAUGAAGAGGUUCUAAAAAAAAUAAAAUAUCUAUAUAUCACCUUCACCUUUACAAGGCUCACUAAAUUAUUUAAGGUUUACCUACCAUAUUGAUGCAAAUACAAGUAUAACUUUAUUGGCUUUGUGUAUUUGAAGCUUUAUUCAUUAAAUAAAACUUAAACAUAGAUAGAUAGACAACGCAACAAAACAUACAAAGCUUAUGAUAGAUUAUAAUAGUCCUAGAAACAAUAAGAUGAAGUCACCAACAACUUUGGUUCUACAAUAUAUUACUCAAUGCAAUAGAAAACAACAUAGUACAACCACCUACAACUAUAGAGUGAUUUAUUCAUCCAAAAUGUUCAUGACAACUUAAGCAACAUCCUUGCUAAAUCCACUUCAAGACUCAUCACCAUAGUCAUGAUUAGGGAUGUCAAUGUCGACCCCAAAUAGCCGCAAAUGCUUUUCUUCCCUUACAAUUUCAGGUGUUACCAAUUUAGGAAUUUUUGUUAGCUGUGUCAUCAGAUUAGUUGCAGGCAUCAACUCCCUAGAUCCAAAGGACAAAGGCUUCAACACUGGAACAAUUCCAUGGCUUGUACCAAAGCCAAGGCUCUGAUGGAACUGGUCAUUAAUCAUCAAGCUAGAUGGAGAGAAGAUCGGACUUGACACGUGAUCUGGAAGAGACAUGGUUCUAGUAUUGGGCUUGAUAUGAAUAAACAUGUGGUUUGGGCUUGUAGUCUUACUAGCAUCACGGUAGAAGGACAAAACAUCACCUUUCUUGAGAUUCUUGUCCUUGAUAUAGACAUGCCAACCCUUGGUUAGGAAAUACUUCUUGCUUUUGUUGCAAAGGCAAAAGCGGAAGCGCCAUAUUAACCCUGUGGAACAAUCCUCAAAAUUGAGGAAAUCAUCAUCUCCACCACUAUUGCCCUCUGAAAUCUUGGGAAAGCACCCCUCCGCACAUUGCCUUGGAAUCAGUACACGAUUCAUUUUACCAACAUCAGUUGUGGUUAGAAUCUUGCCAAACAAGUACUCCAUAUCAAUGACCUUCCUACCCCUUUUUCUUUCCCCACGUAGAUCUAAUGCUCCAUAAGCAUUGCUCAUGCCAGAUUGGAAAACUGGUGUAGAUUUGGAUGAAUAGUGAGAGACAUACCGAGCAGGCAAAAGGGGAUUCACCAACGGGAAGGGAUUCAGACAUGGUGGGGCGUUCCCCAUCUGCACCUCCAUCUCCCUUGAAAUUGUUCUUGCCGAGAAAGCCAUAGAUCUACAAUAGAGGUGUUGUGUAGAAAGAACUGGUGAGGUAGGCGGAGGGACAAAUGUGGAGAGUGAUUAAUGGAAUUAAGUAGUAGGUAGAUUAUAUUUCUUUAUAUGCCUAUUUACUAUGCUCAUUAAUUUUUCUUUUGGCAGCAUACAAGAAACUGGCUUUGGUGAUUUGGUAGCAUAGUGGAAUCUUUGACCGUCCCAUGAGAAGAGUAGGGUGCCAUUUUUACCGCUUGUCGUAUUUGCAUGCAUUAAUCAGUCCCUAUAUUUUUAUACUAUUUUCACUAUCACUACUACACUCAGAGCUUUCUCAACCAUGUCGUAACCCCCACCAUAAUCCAAUUUCAACCACGGUAGUAAGCUCGGCAUCUGGGACUGAUUGUGGUGUACAUUAACACUGUUGUAUUUGCUUAUGCUCCAUCCAUGAUUAAGUCCUUACUCCAUCGCAUUGGAGGUCAUGCCCAAUGCACAGCUGCACGUGAAAGGUCCUAAUGGCUAGAGAGGGUGAUAGCUAAUAAAAAUUAUACAACAACACUAAAGCAACUUGGAUAGACAAUAAGAUGGCAAAGCAAAUGUUGCACUAUCCUACUAAGAGAGCAAGCCAUCUUCCAACAAUUCUAAUCAAUUAAGAUCACUAAGCACUCAAGAGCUAAGUCUCUACUCUACACUAGUUAAGCUAGCCUAGAACAUAGAGCAACUAGAAAACUAAACUACGCAACUAGUUACAACUACCACAAGCUAGGUACACAAAGUAAUGUAAGAGAGUGGUAGAGUGAUAUACCAUAGUGUAGAGGAAUGAUCCAAUCAAUUACAAUAUGAGUGAAUACCAAAGAAGACCAAUCACAUCAGAAUCAAUUAUUGACAAUGAUUUUUUACCGAGGUUCAUUUGCUUGCUGGCAAGCUAGUCCACAUUGUGGCAACUCACUCGCUUGGAGGUCUAUAGUCUUAAUGGCCUCACACCCCAACCGUCACUAGGGCACCAACCAACCAGUACAAGAUGAGGGUCAUACAAGCCAUGAGCAAUCCACUAGAGAUGCUUUUUGUGAACUCUCAUGGGGAAGGCUCAUGAACAGCAUACAAUCACCAUGAUUGGAGCCAUAGACAAUCACCAACCUCCGCUUGAUGAUCCUCGCUGCACUAAGUCAUCUAGGAGUCAAGAAUCUCCAAGAGUAACAAGUGAAUUGUUGGCAUUUCUUUGCGUCAUCACUAGAUACACACAAGGGUCCAUCCCUAUAAAUGACACCAAAAAUGCUUGUUGGCAUUACUUAGCAACACUCCACAGUUUAGUGAUGUUACUAGUAUUGACCUUGAUAUUUUCUUAUAGUUUUAGAUAUUAAUCCGCUAGCACACGGCGCUAUCAUUGGUAGCAUUUCACCUUGAAAAUAUUUGGGUAUCAUUUAUUUAUAUUUUUUCCAAAGUAAGACUUUGAUUAAGAUUCUCUAGUACGGAUAUGAGGUUGAAUAAUGAUGCGUUGCAAGUAAGCUAUUGUUUAUUACAUGGGUAAGACAGUGAUAUUUAAGAUAGUGGACACACAUGUGGCAUUCCUCAAAGGAUAAAUAGAAACAAAAUAUGAAAAUAAUAGUUCUAAGUGAGCAAGCAUUAAUCUAGUAUAGUCAUAUUAUGAUUAGUAAAUGUUCAUACAAUUUACAUGCUUAAUGUUAGUGUUAAGCAUUAACAGAUCAGGAGGACAUGCAUGUACUAGUCUGCUAGCAACCACCAUGCUAAUUAAGACUCCUACACCCUUGUCAAACGUGGGGAGUACGAAGGGCAGACAGGGCAGUCACCACCUGCCGCCUACCCCUUAACCAUGGAAAGGAACCAUGCUAUCAUCUGCCCCUCCAUACCCAUGCACCAUUCACUCUACUAGUGGAUUGGACUGGAAUGGUUUUAACGGGUUGGAUUGUGCAUGGGAUGGCUUUGGAUUGGGAGAAAUAGUCUUCACGUUCGUCAUGGGCUGGAUAGAUUUGGGGCUACGGGUCCAAUGGACUGGGCUAGUUUGGUUCUAUGUGGUGUCUAGUCCAUGGGUGCACAUAGAUUACAGCCUGUUGACACUUGCUAACACCACUUGAAUACUAGGUUGUCAUCCCCAGCAUGGCACUAGAGUGUACUAAGGUAUUUAUGAAUAUGAAAGCUCUAUAGAAAAUAAUCUAUUCUAUUCAUAAAUGCACAGAUAAAAUACCUCAUUGUAGCAUUUCACCAGGAAAAGUAUUCCGGGUAUCGUUAUUUAUAUUUUGCUUAAGAGAACGGCGAAAGUGAAAACAGGGGUAAAAUCUAUCAAGGCAUAGACUAGAGAUAAACUUGCAAGAACAUGAUUACUAAUGAGGAACUCGUCACACAGUCACUUGCUUUGGCAGGGGGUAAGCCAUAAUAAUAAUAAAGAUAAUGAAAUAUAAGCUCAUGAGUAAAUAACACAUCGAUUAGAAAUAGACUACUCCUCAUAUAUGUAAGGUGACGUCGGAUUAGCUAGAGAAUGGAUUCUGAGUAUCUACUAUCUACUAAGUCACAAUCUACUCUAGUUAUCUACAAGAUCAUAUAUAGCACAAAAGACUCUUUAUUCAUGUAUAAGGAACAUUGCUAAAGUAAAUCAGAACAUAGCAAGACUUACUCCGCAAUACAAAUUCUGCAUGUCCUAUCAACGGAGGGUGGACUAUAUAAGAAUCAACGAAGCUGUCACCAUCGCGAACUACCACACGACCCGGCUAAUAAGAUACAUUUGCAGGUAAAUAAUAUCUAAGCACCACGCCCACAUAUGAUCUACCACUUAGCUUCCUCGAGUCAAGAGCUAAGCGCUUUGCAAACUUAUACAUGAACUCAUUAUCAAUCAUAACUAUAUCAAAUAUAGAACUAGAGCAAACUAAGAACAUAAUAAAUAGAGACAUAAUGCAAUUAGAAUAAAGUAGUAGAGAAAGAUAUGAAAUAAUACCAAUCUUUAUUGAUGAAGAUCUGAAAUCCAUAGCGCUAGGCUCUACUUCUCUAAUUCUAUCUAAUCAAUCCUAUAGAACUUGAAGGAAUUGGGAGUAGCUAGUUCUAAUUCUCUGUGGGAGAGAAAUUCCUAAACCAUAACUUUGAUGGCUUCCUCUGAUAAUGAUUUUUCCUCUCCCCUUGUGGUGGAGAGGCCUUGCUUAUAUAGCCCCCUCAAAUGAAUGUGAGCCGUCGGAUCAAACAGACCUUAAUGGCACGGUUAUUCUUGAAGAUUAGAGGCGGUGGAGCACGAUCCGUGAGACCUGUCCUGAUUGGUCACCAGGGCAGGGCGGGCGCCCUGCCCCCGGGCUUGUUCGGCCUCCCGUUCGUUCCCGUGGCUUCUGGACUCUUCUUGGGUGAGGAAAAUUGCGCGACACAUAAUUAUCUCGUUGUAAACCUGACAUGUGGGCCUUCUCUCCAUAUUUUCUGAUAACCCCCUGCAGAAAUAGACAAACACCAAAGCUCAUGGAAUUCUGUUAGAUAAAACCCUAAUUCUAGGUGUUUGGUGCAUAUUGACCCUUUUCCAUGUUUAGUUGACAGUUGAAUUUAGUACUUAAGGACCAUCAACAAACUCCCCCAAGCUUACCCUUUGCUCGUCCCUGAGCAAACACCUAAACUCAGAUGGAUCAGGAGUUGCUUCGAUGUUUUCUUUCCUGACAGGCACACAUGCUUUCACAUAAAAAUUCUCCCAGAUUAGAGUGAAGUGUCAUGGAGCUUAGUACCUGCACUUAAGUCUUAAGUAAUUGAAAGACAAAAUAAUUAAGUUAAGCACUAUUUCUCCUGUAUAUACUUCACCUUUGUUCUGGAGUUUUGUAUACAUUUUUGAAAAUAAAGCUCAGAGUUCUCAGCUAUGUUUACUCUCAAAUCUCUCUAUAUAUGGUAUUUGUGGAUCCUUACCAAAAAUGUCACUUACCUAUAACUAAGGGAAUGUUUAUGUGAAGCUCAUAGGUGUGAAAAACAGCUCAUACAUAUGUUUUCUAAUCGAGCCAUGGAUCCGAAGGAACUCAACAUGUAAUUAAAUCAAGAUGUGCAUGUAUGGUGGAGUAAAUAAUAGUAAUGGUGAAAUAUAUAAGUGAUGAUAAAACUUACUUCUCAUUGCUCCUCAUAUUGCUAUCUCUUCUCCCCUUGAUCUAUGCUUUGGGAGAACAUGGGCUAUAUUUUCCACUUUUUUUCAGGUGGGUAAUAAAUACCCCUAGCUACUAUCGGACACUUGUCCAUUUUUUCCGCUUAGGUGGGCAUCUUUGUACCCCUAAUUCUACUCCGGACACUUGUCCAUUUUUACCUCUCGUCUCACUCUUUUUCUUUAUUGAGGUUCUGGGCACUUGCCCCUUUUUAUUUCCUCGCAUAUUUUUGCAUAACCCAUGCCUCUUCUGCAUUGAAUCUUUUUGGAGAGAUGGAAUAACAACACUUGGGACAGUAAGUGAUAAUAUUUUUAGCAAUUUUAAUGAAUGGUGGUGGAUGGUGUAGUAGAUGUGUGCAAGUGAAUAUCUUAAUUUAAGCACAUGAAAAAGCUCCUAAGGGUCUACACAGCUCGAUCAAACUCAAUGUGAAUAUAAGUAGCAAAAGAUGUUAUAGCAAGUAUGGCUGUGGUAGGAAUUUUGUCAUGCUUGGAACUCAUCAUGUGAUUUUAAAGUUUUCAAAAUAAAUCUCCAGAAGAACUUAGUGUAGUAGGAACAAGAUAAACAGUAGCUCAAACUUUAUAUCAUGUCCUUUUCUUACCUAGACUUUAGUUUUAGGUUCAUGCUUCCCAUAGAUAUUAAAUUUCAAGUUUUAGAAAUUCUUGGGAGAACUCUAAUAUGAAAGCUAGGUACUUGAAAGUAAGCAAACAGAGCAACUGUUCAUCAUUUCCAUCAGACAUCUUUUUGGUCUUUUUAUUUUUCUAGAGAUUAAUACUUAGCAGAUAAAUAAAGCACACUUGUCUACACACUCUUUUUAUUUUGUUUUCAUGUUUAUAGAAUGCAGUAAAUUAAAGCAAGAAAAAUAUUUGUUGAUGAUUUUUUUUUAAAUAAAUAAAACAGAAAAGAAUAAAUAAGAAGAGCAAAUAAAAACUAACUUGAUAAAACGGGGAGGAACUCCCCAAAGCUGGAUGUGGUUGUCGGUCUUACCCAAUGUUCCAGAAUCGCAUCAUGGUGGUGAUGUUGUCGUUCGUUGUCGUGGUGUCUUGCCUCAGUUCUUGUACUGCAGUGGCGUGGUCCUGGUUCCACUUUUGUUGCUGUUCUAGGAGUCGUCCAUGUUCUGUUUGCAUAUUCUAGAUGUCGAGGAGGGUGUUGUUGGUACGGGUGAAGAAGGCGCCGGCCUCUUGGUAGUAGUCGUUCGUGAAAGCAUAAGAGGCGUCGGAGUAUCGUCCUGCAUCGAAUUGAGGCUGGGGCCUAGACCCUGAAGCUCCAUAUGGAUCAGUGGAGUACCUGCCCGCAUUAAAAGGUGGGUUUGCCCACUGGUGAUCUUGGCCCUCCAGCCACGUCUCCUGUGUUGGCUCCUGCAGCUGAGCAUGUCGAACCCAUGGGUCCCGAAGGACUCGGGGGUUGUAGUCGCAGUAAUGCAAGUGCGCUGCUUCUUCUGGCCCGGGAUCAACUCCAUACCAGGUGCGUUCUUGAUGGGUGGUCGUCCUUUCGGAUGCCACUCGCCGUGGAGCUCUCUGAUUUACCGGUGCCACUGCAAUUUCAAUCAAAUAAUUUUAAACGACAUAGAGGCCAAGGUUCACGAUAGGUAACCGAAUCUUGCCUUUAUUAUCGUAUAACAUAUACAUUACAUUCCCCACUUUUUUCAGCAUCCGAGCUUGCCUAAAUGUGUCAUAGCCAUGAUAAAUUCGUAAUUCGUCAAUGAAUUCCAAUGAUCAGUUUUCUAGCAAGUUAAGACUAGAGGCUAGACGAGUGAUGAGUGAAGUAAAACCGACAGGUCCCUGAAGACUAGGUAUACUAAGCCAAUGAGAAACCAAAAGAGUAACGGGUGAAGUGGGUAUUUUAUUUAUAGCAGCAUAAAGAAGUUGUAAGUCUCCUACUCUUACCUUUCUAAUAUCUUCGCGAUGGAAAAGAUUGUACCCGAGACAUUUGUGGAACAUCCUAAGAGUGGGGUGUUCCAUGUCGCUGGUUCGGGCUUGACUAUAAAACUCAUCUCUAGAUAUCUCUCUCCAGAACUAGUGCCUCUCAAAAUUCGGCAAGUCGGAGUCAAUGUCCAGGAUGCAUCUUGAAGAGAAACCGAGAUGGUUGCUCAAUUCUCUCCAAGACAACAUAAUGUCCUGUUUGAACAUCCGAAAAGCGAUCCCCCCUCAUAAUAUUGCAAAGUACAAAGAAAUUCAAGGGUGAGAAGACGGGAACCCAGCUCAGUUAGGUCCCAAAAAUUUGUCCAUCCCACCAUCUGGAAAAUCAAAUCAAAUUCGGUAUCCAUACCUGUUUCUUGUAGCAGGAUAGGAUCAAGAGUGGGGGUUGUUGACGGUCCUUAAUGCUCACAUUUAACCAUCAACUAAUCAUAGAAAAGGAUCCAAAUGCAACUAACACCUAGACUUAGGGUUUUAUCUGGCAGCAUUCCACGAGUUUUGGUGUUUGUCUAUUUCUGCAGGGGGUUAUCAGGAAAUACGGAGGAAAGGCCCACACGUCGAGUUUACAUAGAGAUAUUAAUGUGCCGCACAAUUUUCUAUCAUCUAGAAGACUCCAGAAGGCACGAGAACGAACGGGAAGCCGAGAGGACUCAGGGACGGGGCGCCCGCCCUCCUUUCCUGGGCGCCCGCCCUCACACAGAGUCCAAUCAGGACUCUCUUUCGGUAUAUUGCUCCACCGACCUAAAGGAUCAACAAUAACCGUUCAAUCAAUGUCGGUUUGAUCCGAUGGCCCAGAGUCAUCUGAAAAGACUAUAUAAUCAAGGCCCCCUGGCCCCUGGAGAUCAUAGCUCUUCUACAGAAUCAAAGUUAGGGUUUCAAUUCUUCAUCCAAGUAGAGAGGAUCCCUCUAGUUCUUCUAGUUCUACCUCUAGUUCAUCUAGUUCUAGUUCUAGUUCUUCUAGUUCUAGUUCUAGUUAGUUCUAGUUGUUAUCUAGAAAAUAGGGAGAGAGAAGAGGAGAGCGGAGGAGGAGCCGGGUCUGUCGGAUCAUCCUCAACAUUAUACUUUUGCAGCAACUGGUUCGUUCUUCAUCGUUCUCCAAGUUCUUCAAUUCAGAAUUCCUGAGUUCCUUAAUUACUUUUAUUUACAUUCAAGUUAUUUAUUGGAUUCCCGCUUGCAUCAAGUGCUCUAGUCUUUAUAACGCUAGAGUAGUAAUUAAUAGAUUAGACGUGGUGUUUAGUCUUGCAAUUACCUGGAAUUGCACCCAAUCGUGCGGAUUGUUGUGGUAGCCCUAGGGUAGUGACAGCCCUAACGGUCGACGUAUUCCACCACGUUCGGAUCGAUGUUUGUAGGACCGUAGUCAGACCUUCCUAGCCCCCUUCUCAUCUCUUUCUGUGGUUAGUGUUCUGAUGUCCCGAAAUAGAUAAUCUUGAAGUAAUUCUUGAUUCUUAGAUCAACUAAAGAACUCUCAGGAAACUUCCUCUCUUCCCACCAAAAAUAAUUAUAUAGUUAUCCUUGGGCGAUCUUGGAUCUUAAUGAGUACACUCACGUUCUCUGUGGAAAAUCGAUACUCUGGAAUACUCCCGGAUGAAGGCUACAUCGGUAUCCGUGCGCUUGCAGAUUUUUCUGUUUGCGUUUAAAAUACCCAACAAGCUUUCUGGCGCCGUUGCUGGGGAACGGUAGCUGUGCUAGUUUUGAACCGAGUCGUCCGUGUAUCCUUUUUCUUUUCUUUUUUUACCACACUCACCUUAUCACUUUCACCAUACCACAUGGAUUUCACUCUAAGCAUUAAUGAGCAUGAAAUUUAUUUCAUAGCCACUUCAUUUACUCCAUGCUCAUAUGCAACAUCUUCACAAUCCAUUGGUCUCUCCAACAUCACCACAUUCGAGAUCUCCAACCCCCUCUUCCUUUCUAUUCAUAAAAACUUUAAAAGGGCGGUUGUCGAUGCAUAUGUCUAUAUUAAAUAUUGCAGAUCUUGUUGAGUUGAUCUUGAUAUAGGUCAGCGUUGGAGGGGAAACCACUUCGCCGACAUAAAUUGAUGGUUUCCCAAGGACAAGCUUAGUGUCCUAAAAUAAGCACUGAUCAGAUCAUAACAUGAGCUUUUAAUUAUUUCCAACAUUACCUUGUGUGUUGAGCAUAUAAGGAUAACUGUAAAAAAAUUCCUUCGGGUAUUCUUGUCACUAACCUUUCCAGGAUUGGAGCAAGAAGAUCGGAUGAAUGACAAGCACAAGGUAUGUCUGACCAAUGAUCAUACAACAUUGAAUUAAAUUCAUCCAAACUUGAAUUUUGCAAAAUUCAAGCUUGGGGGAGUACUUUACAUAAAAACAUCCUUUGCCAUGUUGCUAUGUUGGUUGUCCCUACCUUUGAGACAUGCUCAAUUUGUUAAAUACUAAUCACACUACUUCAUCUCCAAUUGAGUAGAUCUCUAUAAAUGCUUUCAUGCUACCUUUAUUUGCUUUAGUAUAUGUCUAGGUUUGGAGUAGUUUCAUUUAUCUCUUAAUUAAGCAUGGUGCUUAGUUUAGGGCUGAUUAUCUUACUUCCAAGGUAGUUUAAUUUAAGCAUGAUGCUUAGGUUAAAAUGCCCUCCUAAAUCAAAUUAGACAUGGUGUCUAGGUUGAUCUUUGAGCCGAUAGUAUGCUAUAGUAGAUAUUGGAUAUUUUGUUGGACUAACCCCUACAGAAAAACUUUCAAUCUCGACCUGGGAAGUCCUGAGAUAAACUCACAUUGGAGACAAAGAGAGAGACACAUGAAGGUUAACAAUUUACACAAGGAAGACAUAGCUCACAAGAGAUGAUCCAUGGAGGGUGCCACAAACACGAUGCACAACCGCUAACAAAGGAAAGCUUCCGCAAGGUGAUACUGUACCAUCACUCUUCAAGUAAGGUAACAUCUUAAGAUACUUGACUAUCAAUUUUAUAAGCUUCUUCUUGGUUCUGGCGUUCACAUGAAUAAAAGAGACAAACAUGUAUGAUUUACAACUCUAGAUUAACCAACCAAAUUGAUUCAACAUGUUAGUCCUUCCACCUUUGUGAUCCCACAACCCUAAUCAUAUGAGCUAAAAUGUUGCACACGCAAUCUUUGGAAGAUAUAAGCAAAACAUAAAUAUAGAUAGAUUAUCUUUCCAUUAGGUUGAGCGAUCUGAUAUGACAAAUGCUUUAAAUGCUACACUCAUGAUCUUAUUAUCCAUCAACUUUGUCUUGCUCGCUAUGCUUAAGGUUAGAGAAGAACAAAUACACUUUUGGUUCUGUUGGUGUUCUCCACCAACAGAGCCGAUGCACUUGAUCUCUGCCUUGUCUCUAUGAGCAGGUACACUUCGAGCAAAAUAUGAAGGAGUUUUUCAACUCCCAGACUCCACCAAGUGAAGAACCUAGAUCUACGAGCACAAACACACUGGAGAUAUUGGACAUUCAGGCAAUCACUGCCCUGAGAUGCUUGAGGACGUAACUACUGGAGUAACCCCGUUGUGGAAGUAAUUACUGACCUUUUGCCGGUCAAGAGAAGCGAUCUAGGACGCUCCGUCAUCCCGAUAUCCAUCGGCAUGGUGGACUUCCGAGAAGCAAUCUGCGACUUUGGCUCCAGCGUCAACUUUAUGCCCAGGGUACUCUAUGAAAAAUUCUUUACAUAUCCUUUAUUAGAAACAACCAUGUGUUUGCAGCUUGCAGAUCGGACACUAAGUUUCCCAAAGGGAAUAUUGAAGAACCUCUACGUCCGAGUUGGUACCUUAUACGCUCCAGCAGACUUCGUGGUGAUAGAGACUGGUACUGAUGAGAGGGCACCCAUCAUCCUAGGGAGGCCAUUCCUGAACACCUCAGGAGCUGUCAUCUACGCUAGUGCUGCCAAGAUUAGUUUCUACAUUAAGGGGAGGAAGGAGACGUUUUCCUUCAAGAACAAGACUACACAAAUCUCAGGGCAAUCCCGACAUGAAUCAGGGAAGAGGACCAACAGGAGGAACAGAAACAAGCAAAUGUGGAUCGAGUCAGCUAAGAUGGUCACUGCAGUUCAAGGAGGUCAAGAUCGUCGACUUAAGUCACCGUUCCUGACCAAAAAGGAUGACCCAGGUAUACCAAGCAUCCAGUGCUCUAUUAAUGGAUACAACUUCCAGAAGACGCUUUGCAACACCGGGUCAGGCGUCAACAUAAUGGCCGCAGUCACCUAUCAGCUUCUGUUCGGAACCAUGCCCCUAAAACCAACAUACAUUUAGCUUCAGAUAGCAGAUCAAACAUUCCGAAAGGUUGAAGAUUUUUAGGUUAUUGACAUGGGAGAAGACGAGUUCGAUCCACCCAUCAUCCUUGGAAGACCGUUCCUCAGCACCGUUAAAGCAAUCAUCUACAUUGGAACCGAAAAAUUCCACAUGCACUUCCCCUCUGAGAAGGUACGUCGUUGUUUUACUGACCCUAACUAUAUAGUUGAAGACUCUAAGCAGGUCAGGACAAGAAGAAGACGACGCAAUCGCAACCAGAGGAGGUAAAUCAUCAAGGACGGAUGGGCAGACUACGAAGGAGAAGUAAGGUCUGAAGACAUACUGCUUGAACAGAACUGUCCUGAGGAGACCGUAGCACCAAGUCAGGUGUGUAGAGAGAAGAUAGUUAUACAUGAAGAGCAGACGCCGCCGGAACCACAGACUACGCCAUCCAGCAAAUCCCAGGACAACUGAGAAAAUGGAGAGUCCCGUUCGGAGGACUUAAAGACACCGAACGCCUUGCUAAGAGGUAAACUUGGUAGUUAUCUUUUUCCUUUCAAUUAUUUUAGUUAAUCGGGUUCAUAUCAUCUUGAAAAGAAAAUAAAAAUGUUUAAAAUAGUAAGCCCCAUGUGAGUAUGCUCAUGGCAUAAAACCCAUAAGUACAUUCACUGUGGUGGCAUAAAAAUAAAAUAAAUAUAUUUAUGUGCUAUAAAAAUGAGAAUAUAAAAAUAAAUUCAUGAUCCUACUAAAGAGUGUAACAUUUAUUGAGGAGGCUCAACAUGAUAAAGGCUAGAUAUUUAUGCUAACACUUAACUAGUUCCACAAAGCUUUGUUGUCUAUUUGAGCUCCACAGAAUUCAAGGAUCAAAGAAGACUAGCAGACGGAGGAUAUCCUAAUCGCUGUUAGGGUGCUGCCAACAUUCAAAUACACAUCCCCCACCUGCUAGCUACAUCAGAAGAAAUUAUGUCAAAAUCUAGCUUGGGGGAGAGCAACCCCAUUUAUCCAGCUAAGUGUUCUACUCACGUUUAUACUUUACUCAAAUAAUAAAAAGAUGCAUAAUCAUAAAAACUCAAAUAAAGAUUUUGUGCUUAUAUAUAUAUCUUUGCUUAGUUUUCUAAAUAAAUAAAUAAAUAAAGUUUGCUAUGAACCCUCAUAAUAAGCUCUCAUAUGGAAAUGAUGAAUAAUUGCUCUGCCAUGACUAGUUCUCAAAAUUGAAAUCUCUCUCAAGUUUAGGCAUGACUGGUAUUAAUUAAGAUUUGCUCUAAACCUGAACUUGUGGGGAGAGUACUUGAUCUAAAGUCUAAGUCGUUGACGGAUACGAUAUUGGAAGGUUGAGCUGCUGUUUAUCUAUUCCUAGAGAUGCUAGAAUUCUGGAGAAUUUUAUCUUUAAAAAUCUUUAAAAUGUUACAUGAUGAGUUCCUGUACGAUGAGAGUUUAAAUUCCUACCACAGCCAUAUAUACAUACUUAUUAGACUAUGAACCAUUCAUUUACUUUUUACUGCUUAUGAGCACUGAGUGUGGUCAAGCUGUGUAGACCCUUAGGAGCUUGUCAUGUGGUUAAAAUCAAGAUUCACUUGCACGUUCACUCAUACAUGCUGCUUCUACUAUGGAAGUACGCAUCCACAUAUAUCCACCCAUUUCCAUACCCAGAUUCACCCAAAAAUAUUCUACUCCUAAUCUGGGAGAGAAUAGCCAAAAACAUUCUCCUAUUUCUGUUUUACCCUGUGAAAUAAAUGCUCAAGCUAUCUUGGUUACUACCACUUGCUAUAUUAUUUCAAGAGAUGAGUGCUCUAAAAAAAGUGAAUACGAGGAAAUAAAAAGGGGCAAGUGCCCGGAACCUCGAAAGAAAAGAAAAAGUGAGACGAGAAGUAAAAAUGGACAAGUGUCUGACAGUAAAAUUAGGGGUACAAGAUACCCACCUGAGAGAAAAGAAAAAAAAAGAAAAUAUAGAGCAUCUCAUUCUCCUCAAAAAGUUUCAAAAGAGCAAGAAAGGUAUGUAUCCCCUCAAAAGAGCACAAGUAGAAUUAGACUUUCACCAUUGUUAUCACCAUCAUCACCAUACACCAUUCAUGCGCCACACAUGCACAUCUUGAUUUGACUUAUUGACUUGUUCUUCUGGAUCCAUGGUUUGACUAUGCAAUAAAUGUCUUGUAAGUAUGUAUUAGCUAUCUCCCACCUAUGAGCUCCAGAUAUCAAACCUUAUUAGAGUAGGGUGAGAGAGAAGGCAAUAUCAUUAUGCCUCAUACCACAAAUACCACAUACUUUGAGAGAAGGCAUACACCAUUACUGCCUUGGUAAGGAUCUAGAAAUACCACAAAAGAGAGACUAGAGAGAGUCAUAUAAGGAAUCUCUGAGUUUUAUUUGAAAAUCUGCAAAAACUCCAGAGCUAUAGUUGAUCAAGAACAUGAGACGUGGCGCUUGAUUAGACCGUUCUAUCUUUUAACUGCUCAGGACACAAGUGACGGUUGCAAGCCCCAUGGUGGAAGGUAAUACGAGUAAGUUUAAAUCUUAACAAUAAACCCUAACCGAGAGAUGAGAUCUUGUUUGAACGCAUGUGUAUUUUUAAGGCAUGAAACCACUGCAGAAACUCUUGAGUUCAACUUUGCUCAGGGAUGAGCAAAGGUUAAGCUUGGGGGAGCUUGUUGACGGUCCUUAAUGCUCACAUUUAAUCAUCAACUAAUCAUAGAAAAGGAUCUAAAUGCAACCAACACCUAGACUUAGGGUUUUAUCUGACAGCAUUCCACGAGUUUUGGUGUUUGUCUAUUUCUGCAGGGGGUUAUCAGGAAAUACGGAGGAAAGGCCCACACGUCGGGUUUACAUAGAGAUAUUAACGUGCUGCGCAAUUUUCUAUUAUCUAGAAGACUCCAGAAGCCACGGGAACGAACGGGAAGCCGAGAGGACUCAGGGAUGGGGUGCCUGCCCUCCUUUCCUGGGCGCCCGCCCUCACCCAGAGUCCAAUCAAGACUCUCUUUCGGGAUAUUGCUCCACCGACCUAAAGGAUCAACAAUAACCGUUCAAUCAAUGUUGGUUUGAUCCGACGGCCCAGAUUCAUCUGAAAAGACUAUAUAAGUCAGGGGUGUGAAUGAAUUCCUUGUUCUUUAUCUGCUAGAAAACUUCUUUCUCCAUGUGGGUCUUCAGUCCAAGGUCUCCUGUCUUGAGGAGAACCUUAACUCGCGGAUCAGACAAAGAUGACGGAGCUUGGGGGGGCAUCGGAUCGACGCUCAUCUCUGACUAGUGUGAGGAUUGUCGGGAUGAACUCCUUGUACCUAUUCAAUUGAGGGUCUUGCCCACGUUCUUUACCUUAUUGAACAUCCUGUAGACAAAAGUUGACACAAACACAACUAGUGGAAAAUGUUAAAGGCCAGCUGUCCGAAAUGUCAGUCGUCUAGGGGUUAGUCAUCCGAAACAAGUUUUAAUUUUGCUUUGGACAACAGGGUCACUACUUAAUAGUGAACCUCGCUCUCUUUCUCCAAGGCUACCAAACUCACUUUCACUCUUCUCUUCCCCUCUACUCUCGUUCUCACUUCACUACUAGAGCUCCUCCGCUAGAAACCGAGAACUAAAGUGUGCGUGGGUUUUCUGGAAUGCUUGUGUGAUGGAGAUGGAGGCAGGAGGUGGUGAUUUAUAAAAGGAAGGGGGGACAGGGCGGGCGCCCUCUGUAGGUGGGCGGGCGCCCCACUCAGGUGGUCUCCCUGGCUGCAGCUUCUCUAUUCCCUCCUUUGCUUAGUCUUUACGCCAAAAAAUGAUUCAUGGGUGGUGGUUGGACGGUGGAAGUUGUCUAGUGAGUGGAGAUAUGUUGGUGGAUCAAAUAAUGUGAUGAGAUAUAUGUGAGGUAUGGUGUAUGAUAUGUGGGACCCAAGGAGUGUGGGUCAUGCUUCUAGAAGGUUGCUAUAAUUAGAUAUAAUGUAGGAAAACCUAAGAAAAUUUGAAACUUAUUGAAAAUGAACAUGGAAAAAUAUUUUUGUGCUUCCAUAAUAAUUAAUAAAUAUGGAUUGUUACACACCAUAAAUAUUCUUUAUAUGGGGCUUUUGAUUAUUAUAAUAAUGCUAUGAAUGAAUGUGACUAAUGCAAGAAUUAAUUAUGCAAGAAUUUAAAUGAUGUGGAUAAAUACCGAUUUACCUCCCAGCGAGGGUUUGGGAUUUUUAGGUCCCCCAAGCUAGAGCUCUAAAUCUUUUAAUCUUCUGAAUUACCUUCCUCCAGAGAUGGUGUCUCUAGUGGUUCUUCUUCAUGAACUUCCUUCAUUGUAGAGUCUCUCUCUGGUCUGGGCUUGAAUGUGAAGUGUUCUUCUUGUCCGUUUAUGUUGAAUUUGAUUUCUCCCUUCCCGACAUCAAUGUGGGCAUUGGCAGUGCUCAGAAAUGGCCUUCCAAGGAUGAUGGACACUUUUGAGUCGGGACUCAUGUCUAGUACCACGAAGUCUACUGGCACAAGGAAAUGUCUGAUCUUGACUGGGAUGUUUUCAGCGAUGCCCAUCGGGUGUCAAACUAAUUGAUUUGCUAGUUGGAGGCACAUUGAUGUUGGUUCUAGGGUCGUAUGCUCAAGCUUCUUGUAGACUGAUGCUGGUAUCACACUGACACUUGCUCCGAGAUCACAAAGUGCAUUGCUGAAGUGUUGGUUUCUGAUCGAGCAAUCAAUGGUGGGACAUCUUGGAUCCUUCUUCUUCCUUGGUGGUUUGUUGAGGAUGGCCGCACUGCAUUCUUCUGUCAGCUUGAUAACCUCAGUGGUGGGCAGUGGUCUCUUCUUGUUAAGAAUAUCUCUGAUGUACUUUGCAUAUGUGGGUACCUAUAUGGCAUCAAGCAGAGGUAUGUUGACAUAUAAUUUCUGAAUGACCUCUACAAACUUACCAAAGUGCUCAUCCGACUGCAGUCCUCUGUUUCUUCUGGGAAAUGGCAAAUAGUUGGUGUCAUAAAAAUCUUUCCUCAUUUCUCCAGCUCUUGGUGGUUGUAGCAGAUCUUCUGCUUCAACUGGGCUUUCUUCUUCUAUCACUGCUGGUUGCACUAGUGCUGUUGUUCUCUAUUUCUCUUUUGGGUAUGGGGGAUCCCUGGUGGCUUUGCUUCCUCUAGUAGUUAUGUUCUUUACCUACUCAAUGUUAGUGGCAACAGGCAAUGUAGCAGCUAGCUUUAUUAAUUUAAGCUCUACCCUUUUAUUAAGAGUGUUUUGCUCAUCAAAGGCAGUUAAUAGAAAAUCCAUUUUAUUGUGUAUAUCUUUUAGAGAUGAUUCAUUUGUAUCUAGCCUUUGUUUAACUUGGUCAUUAGUUUUGGUUUGUUGAGCAAUUAUCUCUUUUAAUGAAAGUUGCUUGAAAGUGUUACCUGAAUUCAUACCUUUGCUAUUGGGUUGACUCGAAGUAGGUUGAUAUUUGUAUGUUGUCUCAAUGGCCCUUUGAUCUUCUUUGAACUUGGCCCUCCGGUCAAUCCAAUGGAGCAAAUUUUCCACCUUGGUUGAUAGUGUAUUUACUUCUUCGGGUAUUUCUUCAGUUUGAUGACAAUGUUGAGCUUUAUCUUGGACCCAGCUUUGGUUUUCUGAUACCUUAUCCAAAAGUAUCUCUGCUUUUCCAAUUGUAAGCUCCAAAAAUGAUGCUUUAGCAGAUGCAUCUAGGCACUCACAAGCCUUUUGGGUUAAUCCAUGGUAGAAUGUCUGCAUAAGUAACCAUUUGGCCAUUCCAUGGUGAGGGCAAUCUGAUAUGGUUUCUGUCUUCUGCUGUUGGAAACUGACAAUAUUUCCUCUUAAGGCAGUUGUUUUACCUAUAGGGAAAAACUUUGAUAGAAAGACAUCUGACAAGUUCGUCCAGUUGUUAAUGUUAUCUUGAUGGGUGUAGAACCACUUCCUUGCCUUCCCUUCUAGUGAGAAUGGAAAAAGGCGAAGCAGUAUGAUGUUUUUGUCGACUCCGUUGAUGCGGAUUGUGCUUCCAAUCUCUAAGAAAUUCUGCAAGUGUGCACUAGCAUCUUCACGUGCCUUUCCACUGAAUUGUGUAGCUUGCACCAAAUUGAUGAGGCUUGACUUGAGCUCGAACUCAGGUGCUCCUUCUUCUACUUCAAAUCUUGGACCAGUUGGAAUGUUCUCAAGACUUGGAGCAGAAAAUUCUUGCAAGGUCUUUUGUGCCAUAGCUUCAGCAAUUGGUAGCUAGCUUCUUCUUUCUUUCUUGAUCGCUUUGGUUCUGAUGAUGAAGAGUUGAAUGUACCAAAGUCAAUCCUGAUAUACCCUGUAUAAAAAAUAUAAACAUAGAAAAACAACAGGGUAAACGUGCCAAAGUAGAGGUGCCUUGUUAUGAUUUCUCAUUUAGUAGCUGUUUAUGCAAUUAUUUCUCCAUAGUCUAGUCUAAUAUAUUUAUGUGAAUAACCUUGACUGAUUUCCUGACUUUCCCUAUCGACUCCCCGGCAACGGCACCAGAAAUGCUUGUUGACACUUGCUAACACCACUUGAAUACUAGGUUGUCAUCCCAGCAUGACACUAGAGUGUACUAAGGUAUUUAUGAAUACGAAAGCUCUCUAGAAAAUAAUCUAUUCUAUCUGCAAGCGCACAGAUAAAAUACCUCAUUGUAGCAUUUCACCAGAAAAAGUAUUCCGGGUAUUGCUAUUUAUAUUUUGCUUAAGAGAACGAUGAAAGUGAAAACAGGGGUAAAAUCUAUCAAGGCAUAUACUAGAGAUAAACUUGCAAGAACAUGAUUACUAAUGAGGAACUCGUCACACAGUCACUUGCUUUGGCAGGGGGUAAGCCAUAAUAAUAAUAAAGAUAACGAAAUAUAAGCUCAUGAGUAAAUAACACAGCAACUAGAAAUAGACUACUCCUCAUAUAUGUAAGGUGACGUCGGAUUAGCUAGAGAAUGGAUUCUGAGUAACUACUAUCUACUAAGUCACAAUCUACUCUACUUAUCUACAAGAUCAUAUAUAGCACAAAAGACUCUUUAUUCAUGUAUAAGGAACAUUGCUAAAGUAAAUCAGAACAUAGCAAAACUUACUCUGCAAUACAAAUUCUGCCUGUCCUAUCAACGGAGGGUGGACUAUAUAAGAAUCAACGAAGCUGUCACCAUCGCGAACUACCACACGACCCGGCCAAUAGGAUACAUUUGCAGGUAAAUAAUAUCUAAGCACCAUGCCUAUUGACGGUCCUUCAGUAUCAAAUAUAAUCAACAAAUAAACAAAGAAAAGGAUCUAAAUGCAACUGACAUCCAGACUUAGGGUUUUAUCUGACAGAAUUCCACGAGUUUUGGUGUUUGUCUGUUUCUGCAGGGGGUUAUCAGGAAAUAUGGAGGAAAUGCCCACACGUCGGGUUUACAUAGAGAUAUUAACAUGCACCGCAAUUAUCCAACAUCUAGAAGAGUCCAGAAGCCAUGGGAACGAGCGGGAGACCGAGCGGACUCGGGGGCAGGGCGCCCGCCCUGGCCAGGCAACCAAUCACGUUCAACUUCGCGGAUCAUGCUCGACCGACCUAAGGGAUCAAGGAAAACCGUGCGAUUAAUGUCGGUUUCAUCCGACGGCCCACAUUCAUUUGGAAGGACUAUAUAAGCAGACCCCCAGGCCCCUGGAGGAGGGGACCUCUAUCUCUCUGAAACCCUAAUUCAUUUAUCCAUCUCGGGAGAAGAAGCCUCUGAUCAAGCCCUAGAGCCACCACAUCAAUAGAUCUCUAGUUUAGCAUAGCUACAUAGGAUUAGAACUAGAAGGAGUCAAUCUUCGAUUGGUUUCCAGAUCUGUCAAGAGGAUUCUUGGUAAUUCCUCCACUGUUCUUCAUUUGUUCAUAAUUGUUUUUCAAUAUUAUGAAUAUGACUUUGCUCUACUUCAAUAUAUUGAUUAUGACUUUGCUCUACUUGUUUAUAUUGGCAAUUAUAUUAUUCUUAGUUUAUCAUAGUUAUAUGCUUGGCUUAGUUAGAUUGGAAUUAUAUACAUGUUUAGGAUCGUAUAGCGUUUAUCCAUGUGUACAGUGGGUAAAUGAUAAGUAUUGUGUAGGCGUGGUGCCUAUACCAUAUUUAUCUGCGAUUGUACCCUAUAUGCCGGAUCACGGGCUAGUUCGUGGUAGUGACAGCUCUAUUGAUUUUUAUAUAGUCCCCGUCUCGUGUAUAGGGCAGGCAGAGUAACAUUAUUACAGGGGAGUGAUUGCUAUGUUUCUCAUCUUCCUUGAUAAUAUCACUAUGCAUGGGCGUAGUCCUGUCUCGCAAUGAUUGCCAAAUAUAAUUGCACUAACUAUGAUAUGCUAGACUUUAUAGUUAAGAAUAACUUAGGAAAUAUUCUUGUAGUUCAUCCUAAUUCCAUGCUAAUGACUUGCUAGAAUAUCUAUUGAGGUGCUUAUCAUUAUUAUAUGUGGCUAGUUAUGCUGAUCAGAUUAAUUAUCUUUGUCACCAUUCAUACUUUAUCUAUCUUUUACGUGACAUUUAUUCCUGUAUGAAAGAGAUAGAUAAAUGAUCUCAAUUAUACAUGUAAUGAUAGAUACUCAGUUCUAUAUUCCAUUCCAUGAUCAACAUUGAUGAUUAGCAAUCCCUUCCCAGUGGUAAAAAUAUAAAUAACGAUACCUGGAAUACUUCUCGGUUAAAAUGCUACAUCGGUAUUAAUCUGUGCGCUUGCAGAUCUCAUUUAUUAUUUAUUCAGAAGAGCAAUUGCAUAUUUCAAUACCGCGUCUCUCAUAUCAUGAUGGGGAUGACAUUAAGAAUGCCCAACAAGCAUUUUUAGCGCCGUUGCCGGGGAAGGUUGAUUACUAAUCAGGAAUGAAUAUGGAAUUUUAAUUCAUCAUUCGCAUCACUAAUAUGAUUGAGCUUAUCAAUUCUCUCAUACAGUUUUAUCCUGAUAUUUUUUCUAUUUUAUUUUUAUGCAGGGUAAUGUAUGAAUAGAAGACAUCUUCUAGGAAAUUUUGUUGACAAUCCCGAAGCGUUAUUCAGAAAAACAAGAGCCAAGCUCAAGAAGAAAUCAUCAACACUUCAGCAAGAAGCUUCUUCCAAUCAAGAAGAUCACCGGAACUUGUCUUCAGAAUUCGAAGCCAUGGUGAACAAAAUGAUCCGCGAGUUCUCAGCUCCCACUACGGACAACAUCCGUACUGGACCUGCUGCAGAGAUCGAUGGCGACUUUGAGCUCAAGCCUGGACUUAUCAACAUGGUGCAAUCCAACCAGUUCUGUGGGAAGGCACAUGAAGAUGCUAGUGCUCAUCUCCAACACUUUCUAGAGAUUUGCAGCACAUUUACCAUAUCAGGAGUCCCCAGAGAUGCUAUACUACUUCGCCUCUUCCCAUUCUCACUGUUAGGGAGAGUGAAGCAGUGGUUCUACGCUACAAAAGAGAAGAAUACUAUGAAUUUUCUGGCUAAGUUCUUUCCCAUGGGCAAGACCAAUGCUCUCCGUGGAAAAAUUACAAGUUUUCAGCAACAACAUGACGAAUCCGUUCCAGAAGCAUGGGAGCGCUUCCAAGACUACAUCCUAGAAUGUCCCUAUCAUGGAAUGGAGAGCUAGCUACUGAUGGAGAUGUUUUAUCAUGGGCUCGGCAACAGUGCCGGAGAAACCAUGGAUGCUGCAGCUGGAGGAGCAUUCUUAUCACUCACCAUACCACAAGCCACAACUCUUGUGGAGAAGAUGGCGUCCAACCAAGGCUGGAAUGAAGAGAGGACCCAGACACGCAAAAAAGGUGGAGGUAUGCAUCAGCUCAAGGAGGUAGACAUGCUGUGUGCAAAGCUAGACCUGCUCAUGAAGAAGCUCGACGAUAAAGCUAGAGAUAAGAAAGAAGUUAUGCACAUCUGCGACUCUCACAUGACUUGUGAGGAGUGUGGAGAUACUGGACACUCAGGAGAUCAGUUCCCUGAGAUGCUUGAGGAUGUGAACUACAUCAACAACAACAACUACAACCGUCCUCAACAAAAUCAAGGUUGGAAUCAACAGACGCCUAACUACUCUGGUAAUUAACAAGACAUGUUUGAUGCAGGUAACUACUGGAGUAACCCCGUCACUGAAGUUAAUACUGACCAGGACGCCCCGUCAUCCCGAUCUCCGUCGUCAUGGUGGACUCCCAGAAGCACUCUGUGACUUUGGCUCCAGCGUCAACAUUAUGCCCAGGUUUGCAGAUCAGGCGUUAAGUUUCCCAAAGGGAAUAUUGAGGAACCUCUGCGUCCGAGUUGGUACAUUGUAUGGCCCAGCAAACUUCGUAGUGAUAGAGACCGGUAAUGAUGAUAGGGCACCCAUCAUCUUAGGGAGGCCAUUCUUAGACACAUCAGGAGCUGUCAUCUACGCUAGUGCUACCAAGAUCAGUUUCUACAUCAAAGGGAGAAAGGAGACGUUUUCCUUCAAGAAGAAGACUGCGUAAAUCUCAGAGCAAUCUUGACAUGAACCAUGGAAGAGGACCAACAGGAGGAACAGGAACAAGCAAGUGUGGACCGAGUUAGCUAAGAUGGUCACUGAAGUUCAUGGAGGACAAGAUCAUCAACUUAAGUCACUGUUUCUGACCAAGAAGGACGACCCAGGAAUGCCAAGCAUCUAUUGCUCCAAAAAUGGAUACAACUUCUACAAGACGUUUUGCGACACCGGAUCGGGCAUCAACAUAAUGGCCGCAGUCACCUAUCGGCUCUUGUUCGGAACCAUGCCCUUAAAACCAACAUACAUUCAGCUCUAGAUGGCAGAUCAGACAUUUCGAGAGGUUAAUGGUAUAAUAACUGAUGUCCCUGUCAAAAUAGACGAUCAUUUUGUCUACACAGACUUUCAGGUUAUUGACAUGGGUGGAAGACGAGUAUGAUUCACCCGUCAUCCUUGGAAGACCAUUCCUCAGCACCGUUAAAGUAAUUAUCUACAUUGGAACAGGAGAAGUCCAUAUGCACUUCCCCUCAUAGAAGGUACGCCGCUAUUUUACUGACCCUAAUUAUAUCGUUGAAGACUCUAAGCAGGUUAGUACAAGAAGAAGACGACGCAACCGCAACCAGAGGAGGCAAAUCAUCAAGGACGGAUGGGCAGACUAUGAAGGAAAAGUUAUAAGGUCUGAAGACAUACAGCUUGAACAAGAUUAUCCUGAGGAGACCGUAGCACCAAGUCAGGUGUGGAGAGAGAAGAUAACUAUACACGAAGAGAAGGCGCCACUGGAAGCACCGACUACGCCACCGAACGAACCCCAGGACAACUGAGAAAAUGGAGAGUCCCGUUCAAAGGACUUAAAAACACCGAACGCCUUGCCAAGAGGUAAACUUGGUAGUUAUCCUUUUCCUUUUCAGUUAUUUGAAAUAGUUUACUUAGUUAAUCAUGUUCAUACUAUCCUAAAAAGAAAAUAAAAAUGUUAAAAAUGGUAAGCCCCAUGUGAGUAUACGAGUGGCAUAAAAUCCAUAAGUACAUUCACUGUGGUGGCAUAAAAAUAAAAUAAAUAUUUCUUUUCUGCUUAUAAAAAUGAAAAUAUAAAAAUAGAGAGUAACAUUUAUUGAGGAGGCUCAACAUGAUAAAGGCUAGAUAUUUAUGCUAACACUUAAUUAGUUCCACAAAGCUUUGUUGUCUAUUCGAGCUCCACAGAAUUUAAGAAUUCAGAAGACUAGCAGACGGAGGACAUUCUAAUCGUUGUCAGGAUACUGCCGACUUUCAAAUACACCUUUGCCACCUUCCAACUACAUCAGAAGAAAUUAAGUCCAAAUUCAGCUUAGGGGAGAGCACCCGCAUUUAUCUCGCUAAGUAUUUCUAUCUAUCUUUAUACUUAUACUAUAUUAAAAUAUAAAUAUACAGAACUAUGGAAAACCAAAUAAAGAUUUUAUGCUUAUAUAUAUAUAUAUAUAUGUCUUUUGCUUAGUGUGUUUAAUAAAUAAAUAAAGUGGCUAUGCUAAAUUGAAUCAUAAUAAUAAAACUCUAGCAUGGAUGUGAUGAGUAGUUGCUCUGCCUAAUUUUCAAAUUUGAGUUUUCUCUCAAGUUUAGACAUAACUGUUAUAAUUUAAAGCUUGCUCUAAAUCUGAACUUGUGGGAAGAAAACUUGAUCUGAAGUCUAAGUUGUUAACGGAUAUGAUAUGGGAAGGUUGAGCUGCUGUUUAUCUGUUCCUUGAGAUGCUAGAAUUCUGGAGAAUUUUAUCUUUUAAAUCUUUAGAAUAUCACAUGAUGAGUUCCGGUAUGAUGAGAGUUUAAAUUCCUACCACAGCCACAUAUUUACAUGCUUGCUAGACUCUGAGCCACACAUUUACUUUUUUACUGCUUAUGAGCAUUGAGUGUGGUCAAGCUGUGUAGAGCCUUAGGAGCUUGUCAUGUGGUUAAAUCAAGAUUCACUUGCACGUUCAUUCACACAUGCUGCUUUCUACUCCGGAAGUACGCAUCCACAUAUAUCCACCCAUUUCCAUCUCCAGAACCACCCAAAAAUAUUCUACGCCUAAUCCGGGAGGGAAUAGCCAAAAACAUUUCUGUUUUCUCCUAUGAAAUAAAUGCUCAAGUUAUCUUGGUUACUACCACUUGCUACAUUAUCUCAUGAGAUGAGUGCUCUAAAAAAAGAGAUACGAGGAAAUAAAAAGGGGCAAGUGCCCAGAACCUCGAAAGAAAAGAAAAAGUGAGACGAGAGGUAAAAAUAGACAAGUGUCUGACAGUAGAAUUAGGGGUACAAAAUACCCACCUGAGAGGAAAGAAAAAGAAAAUAUAGAGCAUCUCAUUCUCCUCAAAAAGUUUCAAAAGAGCAAGAAAGGUAUGUAUCCCCUCAAAAGAGCAAAAGUAGAAUUAGACUUUCACCAUUACCAUACACCAUUCAUUCGCCACACAUACACAUCUUGAUUUGACUUAUUGGCUUGUUUCUUUGGAUCCAUGGUUUGACUAUGCAAUAAAUGUCUUGUAAGUAUGUAUACUUUAUCUCCCACCUAUGAGCUCCAGAUAUCAAAAGCCUUAUUAGAGUAAGGUG
rnacentral:lncRNA from 1 species